rnacentral:lncRNA from 1 species
ACCAUUCCUGACCAAAAAAAAAGGACGACCCAAGUAUGCCAAGCAUCCAGUGUUCCAUUAAUGGAUACAACUUCCAGAAGACGCUUUGCGACACCGGGUCAGGCAUCAACAUAAUGGCCGCAGUCACCUAUCAACUCCUGUUCGGAACCAUACCCCUAAAACCGACAUACAUUUAGCUCCAGAUGGAAGAUUAGACAUUCCGAAAGGUUGAAGGUUAUUGACAUGGGAGAAGACGAGCACGAUCCACCCAUCAUCCUUGGAAGACCAUUCCUCAGCACUGUUAAAGCAAUCAUCUAGAUUGGAACCAGAGAAGUCCACAUGCACUUCCCCUCUAACAAGGUACGCCGCUAUUUUACUGACCUUAAUUAUAUAGUUGAAGACUCUAAGCAGGUCGGGACAAGAAGAAGACGACGCAACCGUAACCAGAGAAGGCAAAAUCAUCAAGGACGGAUGGGCAGACUAUGAAGGAGAAGUUGUAAGGUCUGAAGACAUACAACUUGAACAGAACUGUCCUGAGGAGAUCGUAGCACCGAGUCAGGUGUGGAGAGAGAAGAUAGUUAUACAUGAAGAGGAGGCGCCGCCGGAACCACCGACUACGCCAUCCAGCGAAUCCCAGGACGAAUGAGAAAAUGGAGAGUCCCGUUCGGAGGACGUAAAAACACCGAACGCCUUGCCAAAAGGUAAACUUGGUAGUUAUCUUUUUCCUUUCAAUUAUUUAAAAUAGUUUGGUUAGUUAAUCAGGUUCAUAUCAUCUUGAAAAGAAAAUAAAAAUGUUGAAAAUAGUAAGCCCCAUGUGAGUAUGCUCAUGGCAUAAAACCCAUAAGUACAUUCACUGUGGUGGUGUAAAAAUGAAAUAAAUAUAUUCCUGUCCUAUAAAAAUAAAAUUAUAAAAAUAAAUUUAUGAUCCUACUAAAGAGUGUAACAUUUAUUGAGGAGGCUCAACAUGAUAAAGGCUAGGUAUUUAUGCUAACACUUAACCAGUUCCACAAAGCUUUGUUGUCUAUUUGAGCUCUACAGAAUUCAAGGAUCAAAGAAGACUAGCAGACGGAGGACAUCCUAAUCGCUGACAGAGUGCUGCCGACAUUCAAAUACACCUCCGCCAGCUGCUAGCUACAUUAGAAGAGAUUGUGUCAAAAUCCAGCUUGGGGGAGAGCACCCCCAUUUAUCCAGCUAAGUGUUCUACUCACGUUUAUAUUUUACUCAAAUAAUAAAAAGAUGCAUAAUCAUAAAACCCAAAUAAAGAUUUUGUGCUUAUAUAUAUCUUUGCUUAGUUUGCUAAAUAAAUAAAUAAAUAAAGUUUGCUAUGAACCCUCAUGAUAAGCUAUCACAUGGAAAUGAUGAAUAAUUGCUCUGCCAUGGCUAGUUCUUAAAUUGAAAUCUCUCUCAAGUUAGGCAUGACUGGUAUUAAUUAAGAUUUGCUCUAAACCUAAACUUGUGGGGAGAGUACUUGAUCUAAAGUCUAAGUCUUUAACGGAUACGAUAUGGGAAGGUUGAGCUGCUGUUUAUCUGUUCCUAGAGAAGCUAGAAUUCUGGAGAAUUUUAUCUUUGAAAAUCUUUAAAAUGUUGCAUGAUGAGUUCCUAUAUGAUGAGAGUUUAAAUUCCUACCACAGCCAUAUAUACAUGCUUGCUAAACUUUGAGCCACACAUUUACUUUUUACUGCUUAUGAGCAUUGAGUGUGGUGAAGCUGUGUAGACCCUUAGGAGCUUGUCAUGUGGUUAAGUCAAGAUUCACUUGCACGUUCACUCACACAUGCUGCUUCUACUCUCGUAGUACGCAUCCACAUAUAUCCACCCAUUUCCAUCUUCAGAACCACCCAAAAAUAUUCUACUCCUAAUCUGGGAGAGAAUAGCCAAAAACAUUUCUGUUUUCCCCUGUGAAAUAAAUGCUCAAGUUAUCUUGUUACUACCACUUGCUAUAUUAUCUCAUGAGAUGAGUGCUCUAAAAAAAAGAAGAGAGAGAGAAAAAAAGUGAAUACGAGGAAAUAAAAAGAGGCAAGUGCCCGGAACCUCGAAAGAAAAGAAAAAGUGAGACGAGAGGUAAAAAUGGACAAGUGUCCGACAGUAGAAUUAGGGGUACAAGUUACCCACCUGAGAGAAAAGAAAAAAAAGAGAGAAAAUAUAGAGCAUCUCAUUCUCCUCAAAAAGUUUCAAAAGAGCAAGAAAGGUGUGUAUCCCCUCAAAAGAGCACAAGUAGAAUUAGACUUUCACUAUUGUUAUCACCAUCAUCACCAUACACCAUUCAUUCGCCACACAUGCAUAUCUUGAUUUGACUUAUUGACUUGUUCUUCUGGAUCCAUGGUUUGACUAUGCAAUAAAUGUCUUGUAAGUAUGUAUUAGCUGUCUCCCACCUAUGAGCUCCAGAUAUCAAAACCUUAUUAGAGUAGGGUGAGAGAGAAGGCAAUGACACUAUGCCUUAUACCACAAAUACCACAUACUUUGAGAGAAGGCAUAUACCAUCACUGCCUUGGUAAGGAUCCAGAAAUACCACAAAAGAGAGACUAGAGAGAGUCAUACAAGGAAUCUCUGAGUUUUAUUUGAAAAUCUGCAAAAACUCCAGAGCUAUAGUUAAUCGAAGAACAAGAGACAUGACGCUUGACUAGACCGUUCUAUCUUUUAACUGCUCAAGACACAAGUGACGGUUGCAAUCCCCAUGGUGGAAGGUACAAUGGGUAAGUUUAAAUCUUAAUAGUUUACCCUAACCUAGAGAUGAGAUCUUAUUUGAACGCAUGUGUAUCUUUAAGGCAUAAAACCACUGCAGAAACUCUUGAGUUCAUCUUUGCUCAGGGACGAGCAAAUGUUAAGCUUGGGGGAGCUUGUUGACGGUCCUUAAUGCUCACAUUUAACCAUCAACUAAUCAUAGAAAAGGAUCCAAAUGCAACCAACACCUAGACUUAGGGUUUUAUCUGACAGAAUUCCACAAGUUUUGGUGUUUGUCUAUUUCUGCAGGGGGUUAUCAGGAAAUACAGAAGAAAGGCCCACACGUCGGGUUUACAUAGAGAUAUUAACGUGCCGCGCAAUUUUCUAUCAUCUAGAAGACUCCAGAAGCCACGGGACCGAAGCGGAGGCCGAGAGGACACAGGGACAGGGCGCCCGACCUCCUUUCCUGGGCACCCGCCCUCAGCCAGAGUCCAAUCAGGACUCUCUUUCGGGAUAUUGCUCCACCGACCUAAAGGAUCAACAAUAACCGUUCAAUCAAUGUCGGUUUGAUCCGACGACCCAGAUUCACUUGAAGGGACUAUAAAACCAGACCCCCCUGGCCCCUGGAGAUCAUACCUCUUCUACAGAACCAAAGCUAGGGUUUCAAUUCUUCAUCCAAGUAGAGAGGAUCCCUCUAGUUCUUCUAGUUCUACCUCUAGUUCAUCUAGAUCUAGUUCUAGUUCAUCUAGUUCUAGUUCUAGUUCCUCUAGUUCUAGUUCUAGUUAGUUCUAGUUGUAAUCUAGAAAAUAGGGAGAGAGAAGAGGAGAGCGGAGGAGGAGCCGGAUCUGUCGGAUCUUCCUCAACAUUGUACUUUUGCAGCAACUGGUUCGUUCUUCAUCGUUCUCCAGGUUCUUCAACUCAUAACUCCUGAGUUCUCUAAUUACUUUUAUUUACAUUCAAGUUAUUUAUUGGAUUCCCGCUUGCAUCAAGUGCUCUAAUCUUUGAAACAUUAGAGUAGUAAUUAAUAGAUUAGACGUGGUGUUUAGUCUUGCAAUUACCUGGAAUUACACCCAAUCCUGCGGAUUGUUGUGGUAGCCUUAGGGUAGUGACAGCCCUAACGGUCGACGUAUUCCACCACGUUCGGAUCGGUGUUUGUAGGACCGUAGUCAGACCUUCCUAGCCCCCUUCUCAUCUCUUUCUGUGGUUAGUGCUCUGAUGUCCCGAUAUAGAUAAUCUUGAAGUAAUUCUUGAUUCUUAGAUCAACUAGAGAACUCUCAGGAAACUUCCUCUCUUCCCACCAAAAAUAAUUAUAUAGUUAUCCUUGGGCGAUCUUGGAUCUUAAUUAGUACACUCACGUUCUCUGUGGAAAAUCGAUACUCUGGAAUACUCCCGGGUGAAAGCUACAUCGGUAUCCCUGCGCUUGCGGAUUUUUCUGUUUGCGUUUAAAAUACCCAACAGUGGGAAACCACACAAGGAUGCAAACACACACCUUCAGAACUUUCUGGAAGUGUGUAGCACCAUCACUAUCAAAGGAGUCACAACGGGAGCCAUCCACUGUCGCUUAUUCCCAUUCUCUGUGCUUUGGAAAGCAAAGCAAUGGUUCUACACUCUCCAUGAUGAUGUUGACACAUGGAGCAAGUGUGCUACAACAUUCCUCAACAAGUUCUUCCCAAUGAGCAAAACAUCAGCUCUGUGGGCAAGAAUUUCCAGCUUCUGUCAAAAGGCAGAAGAGACCAUUCCCAAAGCAUGGGAACGUCUCUAGGAGUACAUUUAGGAAUGUCCUCAUCAUGGAAUCAAGGAAUGGCUGUUGAUCCAAGGUUUCUAUCAUGGGCUAACACCAUACGCUCGUAGUCACCUUUAUGCUGCUGCAAUAGGAUCAUUCACAUCCCUCAAUGUCGCACAAGCAAAGAAGAUCAUUAAGAAAAUUGUGACAAAUCAAGAGUGGAAUGAUGAACGUCCUAAACCCAAGAAAAGCCGUCUCUUAGAAGAUGGAACUCUUGACGAAGAAGAUGGAAGAAACAUUCACAGGUCCUAUCCACAUUCGACAAUGGGCAACCACGACAAAGCGGACCGACUCCACACUUCCAAGGGCAAGGUAAUUUUCAAAAAUCUAGGUCUUGUUGUUAAUCAAGCUAAAAUUAUUCAAGGCAUAAAUAAAAGGUUGUUAGAUAAUGACAAGACUCUUGAAUUAUUAACUUCUAAAAUGGACUCUCUAGCUUCUGCUGUUAAGGAUCAAUAGAACUUUGACAAGGUCUUAGAGUCCUGGAUGACUCAAAUUGCUGCUUUUGUUAAUUCUUGUUAUUCCUCAAAUGCGCUGACCACGAGAGGGGGUAAGACCACUCGUGAUCCACCAUAUCCUAACAUGACAAGGAAACCGGCAAGGAAGGACAAGCAGGAUGAAGAAGACAAGGUAGAAGAAGUAGAGUUUCAUCAACACAAUAAAGUACCAAGUUCAAUGGGAAAGUGGCACCACAUGAGUUCUACGACACAAACCUACUGAUGCCAUUCCCUAGGACGAGGACUCAAAAGACCGAUGAAUAAUUCGACAAAUUUGUUGAGGUAACUCGACAACUAUAUGUCUAUAUCCCGUUACUUGAUGCAAUGCAGGUUCCAACCUACGCCAAGUACCUGAGAGACAUCCUCAGCAACAAGAAGCCGCUGCCUAAAACUGAGGUAAUUAAACUAACUGAAGAAUGCAGCGAAGUCAUCUUGAAUAAAUUUCCAAAGAAGAAGAAGGACCCCGGGUGCCCCACAAUUGAUUGCACCAUCAGGACACAACACUUUGAGCAUGCACUGUGCGACUUGGGACCAAAUGUCAAUGUCAUGCCAAAGGUAAUUUUUGACAAGUUAAAUCAUACUACCUUGUCCCCUACAUCAAUAUAUUUGCAGCUAGCAGAUCAGUCGAUUCGCCAUCCAGCGGGAGUAGCUGAGAACAUCCCUGUCAAGAUACACGAUUUCCUUGUUCCUAUGGAUUUCGUAGUUCUUGUCAUGGAAGUUGACAAGAAGGUCCCCCUCAUACUUGGGAGACCAUUCCUCAGCACUGCCAAGGCACAUAUUAAUGUUGGAGCUUGUGGGGGUAUAAACCCCUAUACCCUUACGGCUAGACUUGGGCCAGGAGGCUUGGCCCAUUACGAGACAAGCUCAAGGUUCGAUCCGACAGCUUGGAGUUUCGCGCAAGGAAACAAGACGUGGAGAUCAACCAGGAUUCUAGUCGGUUAGAAUAGGAAUUGAUAUCGAACUAUCUAUGGCAAUUGUAACUGACUAGGAUUAGUUUCCAGAUCUGUAACCCUGCCCUCCGGACUAUAUAAGGAGAGGCAAGGGACCCCCCUAGGACAUCAUAUUCUCUCAACACAAAUCAAUACAACCAGACGCAGGACGUAGGUAUUACGCCAACUCGGCGGCCGAACCUGGAUAAAAAGCUUGUCCGUGUCUUGCGUCACCAUCGAGUUCGUAGUUUGCGCACCGUCUACCGAUAAACUACUACCGUGGGUAUACCCCAAGGUAGACUGCCGACCAGCUUUCGUCGACAGUGGCGCGCCAUGUAGGGGGUGUGCGUGCAACUUCUCCGACGAACAAGAUGGUCACGAUCCCAGCUUCCGCGACCGUGCCUGAAGGCCUCACGUUCACCGUCGGCCAGAUCACGUGGACGACGCUCAGCGGCGGCCUCACGACCACGGUUUCGAAAGAAACUCAGAUCCAAUCUGAGAACACGUCGUCUCCGACCACUCGCGUGACGGCACCGAGCGCCCGACUACCGUUCCCGCUCUACAAGGGAAAGAAGAUCGACUGCUCGGAUCUCCUCCAAGCGCUCGAUCACGCUGAUUCCAAGCUACUUGAAGCCUCCCAACUAGUGGACGGAAUCUUGCGCCAGCCUGAUCAAGCUGCUCCAACGGAUUUUUUCAAAUCCCGUCGGCCAACUCGUGUCAUUACACACGAACGGCUGGGAACGUCUCUGACGAUAACAUCAACUCCCUCAGGACGGUCUGUCCAGCUCAAGAAGGGAGACUAUCCUUGCGGUCUGAACAACUCGGCCUCUCUCUACUCACGGCACAUCCAAUCCGUUUUCAGCGAAGCGGGUUGGUCCCUAAAAAGAAACGGUCAUCACUGCGUCAACAUGGUGACAGUCCGAGAACUACAGGACGGCCAGGCUUCUAGCACCAACUCGAGCACCGGCUCCGUCCCCACCGAAGUUAUAAACACCGAAGACGAGGACUACGACCUGGAUUUGCCUUCACACCCUCCGGGUUUCCCUCGUUUCCCGGUAUUUCCCCCCCGGCGAGGAGAUAUUGUCUUCAAUGUCAGCGCCGACGAACCGGUUGUUGAUGGAGAAACAGAUGAGCAGAGGCAACUCCGCGAGCAGCGCAACGCCGAUCGCGCCCGACGACGCGCAGACGAGCAACAACAACAAAUUCCACCGCAUAAUCUUAACGACGCUUUCGACAUGGUCGGGGAUCAGCCAGUCUACAAAACGCCAAGCGCCAACGUGGCUAUCGCCAUGGCCAAUCUAGAUCGGCUCCCUGAUACCCCCGAGUUCCAGGGAGUCCGGACCAGCAUCCGAGCACACCUGAUCGCCGCAAUGGGACAGACAGCCACUCUGCUCAAGAGAGUCCGGGACGUCUCUUACACGGAAGCCACCUCCGAUCAGACUAAUCGUAGCCGGACCUCACCACCUCCCAGCAGGCAUCACCGCAGCCGCUCUCCCGACAACAGUCGAAAAGAUUCACGGCGUGACGAUGGUGGUCGGGACACUGACGGUCACCGCGAGCAGAACCGCAGACGCGGUCAAGAAGUAAACCAGCACAGGGAUCUCCGGCACUACAUCCCUCCCAAAGAUGCUCGGGACCGCAUUAACAGGCGCGCCACAGAGAGAGCAGUCCACGAAAACCUGCGCCGUAUCGAGUACGACGCAACGCACGGCCCCCCGGGCCUAAGACAGUUCUCCUCACACCUCCGCCAGGUCGUGUGGCCCCGCAAUUUCAAGCUCGAAAAACUUAAGAAAUACGACGGCAAGGUAAAUCCAGAGAACUGGAUCACUCUCUAUGAAAUCGCCGUCCGAUCAGCAGCGGGAGAUGAGCACGUCAUGGCCAACUACUUCCCCGUAGUCCUCGACCAGGCCGGUCAUCAGUGGCUUCUUGGCUUGCCCGAGGACUCCUUCGACUCUUGAGAAGAGCUACGCCAGGCUUUCAUCGACAACUUCAUCGCCACAUGCGAGCAGCCUGGAAACAAAUAUGACCUCGAAAGGAUAAGGGACAGGAAGAACGAACCUCUGCGCGACUACAUCCGACGAUUCUCGGAUAUGCGCCUUAAGAUCCCGAAGAUCUCCCACGACGAGGCCAUCUCUGCCUUCAUCAAGGGCCUGCGUUUCCACGAAGCGCUGAGGAGCAAGCUGUUGCGUAAACGGCCAACAACCGUGGCGGAGCUCCUCGCCACGGCCAAAAAUUACGCCGAUGCCGACGUCGCUGAAAAACUAAUCCGAGACGAUGCAAGAGGUCCCGACCAGCCUCCCCGGUGUGAUGACGGUCGUGGUCGCUAUGACAACAGGAACCACCGCCGCCCCGACAACCGCGAUCACAGAGAAGGUUGGGAUCGGCGGCGCGACAACCGCGACGAUUUCAGAGGAAAGCGCCCCCGCGACUACGACAACGAAGUAAAUACGGUCAAGCGUCCCAACGGGCGGCGGGACUACCAAGAAGACUACAACAAAACGUUGAAGGGACCGUGCCAAUUACAUCCAAAGUCUAAUCAUACCAUGGAAGAGUGCCGCGUCCUCAAAAGCAUCUAUACACGGCGAGCCGCCCAAGACGACUCCGCCAAGAAAAACGGCAAACGAGACGGGCACGGCCACGAAGAUGAGGAUGAGGACCAGGAUAGGGACCCCCGACACCAAUACGUCAACCCCAGUGACGUGGUCCACUCCAUCUUUGGGGGCAAGGUCUCCAUCGAAUCUAAGCGAGAAAGAAAGCUGUUAAAGAGAGCCUGCCUCAACAUAGACAGCACGGACGGGCUGAUUGCAGACCCAAAAUUUCCCCCGUCAACUCCACUGACGUGGUCCACUCCAUCUUCGGGGGCAAGGUCUCCAUCGAAUCUAAGCGAGAAAGAAAGCUGUUAAAGAGAGCCUGCCUCAACAUAGACAGCACGGACAGGCUGAUUGCAGACCCAAAACAUAGACAGCGACGAGUGAGCUCGAGACGAUGCUCCUCCUGGGCGUUCAUCUCGGCCACUUUCUCCCCGACUUCCGACCGCAGCCGGUCCACCUCCGCCAACAGGGCCUUGUUCUCGGCCACGACGCCUUCUAUCUGGUCAAAGCACCGUUUCCGGUACUUCGCCGUUUUCAUUGCGCCCUACAAAACAAACAUAUGACGACCAAGCAAGACAACGCACAGAAUGUACAGCAGUACAAAGAGUCGCUUACCUUGACUUCGUCGACGAGGCGUUUCGCUGCACGCUCCACCCUGGCGGCCUCCUCGGUCUCGGCGAGCUCCUCAUGACCGAUAAAGUGAUCCCCGCGUUGGCGCCACACAUACACGUGUUGGCGGCCAUCACGGGGACGACCCUCAAUCUCCUCCACCUCGUCGUCGGAGGCCGCCCGGGUCUCCUCCUCCCGCGCUGCGUUGCCCCCGGUAGUGGUCGCAGGCAUUACUGGCCCCCGGACCAGACCUGGGGAGCCUGCAGUCGAAGCGGCUCCUGCUCGGGGCGGUGUGGGGACUUCACUCUCCCCGGCGGGAGGAGGGGUCGGGGCUCUGCCUUCCCCUUCCGUGGCCCUAGCUGGGGGAGGCGUCCCUGUAGCCUCCCCAACCCUGGUCGGGCUGCCCGUCGUAGUCGGUGCCGCGGCCAGGAGCUCCUCGGUGGUCCCAGGGACGGCUGCAGCCCUAGGCUGCUCUGUGGUCUGCGGGGCCGCGUCUUUAGCAGCGCAAACUGGCUCACUCGUCCCUUGGCCAGUGGCAUGGCCAGGGUUGACAUCCGACGCCGCGCUAAAAAAAACUGCAAUAAAAAAAAACAAAAUCGCUGAAAUACGUAAGUCGAACACUUACAGGUCUGAGCGACGGUGGGUCGCGGUGAACCUCCUCCUCGUCUGGCCAGUCGGCACCUGUGCCCCCAACUCCGCAGUACGAGGCGCAGGUGGGUCGCCGGCCACACGAUCAGCAGUGGUCGCCCCGCUGUCCGGACGGCUAGGAGGCCUCCGGACCAAUGACGGUACGGCCUCCUCCUCCUCCUCGUCGUCGUCGUCGAUCCGAACGAACCGACGCCGCUUUGGUGCUCGGCUGCUCUCUGCCGGCAGUGUCGGCGCCGGCGACGGAUCCGCAGGCAUUGGCCUUUUACCUGCCACCCUUUCCUCGGUGGUCGGGACGGGGCGGGCUUGUUCCUCCUCACUGCUGGUGUAAUGAGUACACCGAGCAGCGUCCUCCUCUGGCGGGACUUCUCCCGCAGGAUUCUCCAUCCCCGGUGCCAGUGAUACAUAAACUGUGCACCGGUCGACAUCGCCGAUCUGCAAAAGCAACAAAGAUGAGUCAGCUGCAGACAAUAUACGAAUACUAAAACAAAAUAAUCUGCAACAUACCUUUGGUGCUGGUCGUCCUAACUUGAAGGCUUGCACCCGAUCACUGCCACGGAUGAAGCCUCCGUCCGCGAAGUUGAACAGCUCAUUCAACAGCUGCUGUACCUCCGCCUUCUCCAAGAUCUCCGGUCGCAUCCUGGUCGGGUCCACACUUCCGGCAUACUCGUACGCCGAGUGCACCCUCUUCUGGCAGGGCAUCACCCGACGACAAAUGAAGUUGCCGACCACUCCAAGCCCGUCCAGGCGCGACCAGUCGAUCAGCUUCAUGAGAUCCGCCACUUGACCGUCGAACUCCGGGCGGUCGGUCCAGCUCACCCUCUUCUCAGGAAUGUAUCCCACAUCGCAGAACGUGGAGCUGCCCGGUUCCUCCCUGAUGUAGAACCACUUCCUAUACCAUUCGGUCAAGGAAGUAUUCCAUGGACAGUGCAGGUAGCGGUUCUUCAUUCCAUCACGAAGGUUGAGGUAUACUCCACCUGCAACCUUGGAGCCUCCAACCGCUCCCUUCUUCCUCAAGCAGAAAAGAUAAAGAAAAAGAUCGAAGUGCGGCUCUAUACCAACAUAGGCCUCGCACAGAUGGAUAAAAGUGGAGAUAAGGAGAAUUGAGUUCGGGUGCAGAUUGCAAAUCCCGAUCUCAUAAUACAAAAGAAGACCUUGAAGAAAAGGAUGAACAGGAACCCCAAAGCCCCUCUUAAUGAAAUCUUCGAACACGACAAUCUCACCGGCACGAGGGUCGGGGAAGCUCUCCCCUUCCGGUGCUCUCCAGCCGCCGAGCUCCGAGCUAUGCAGGAGUCCCAUCUCGACGAGGUCACCAAGGGACUUGGUGGUGCUACGGGACUUCUUCCACUCCUUGGCCAUGAGUUCGGCCCUCUUCUUGGAGUCGCUCUUCGCCAUUGGAGGUGAGGAAGUGGACUUGGGUUACGAAGAUGAAGGUGAUUGAAGGAGGCAAAAGAGGAAGGCCUGAUGGCAAUGGCAGGGUAAGCAGUACAGGCGGAACUGUCCAGCUCUUAUAACCCGCAGCUCCACCCCUCCCACUUCCUGUAUUCUCGGGAAGUGGGCGGGCCAUGCGGCGGAUGCGGCGUUUCGGUUUUCAAUGAUUAUAGACAAUUAAUGCGGCGGAGUUUUCGUACCAAUUGAUGGUUUCCUUUUUUCAAACCACGCAAAGGGCGGCUGCACAGUUGCCAAGCGCAACUUUUCAUGCAUCCAUCUCACACACCAUCAGAAGGUCUCGUCACGUCAACUUUAACUGGAAAGAUUUUUUCAAAAACAAGAAGACAAAUAUGGCAGAGAGUCAACAAUCCAGGGACUGUACCGACCACCGAGCAGUUGAUGCUCGGGGACUGGUCGACCAGUCUAUCAACUCGGAUGCCAAGGACUGCACCGACCACCGAGCAGUUGACGCUCGGGGACUGGUCGCCCAGUCUAUCAACUCGGACGCCAAGGACCGUCCCGACCACCGAGCACUUGAUGCUCGGGGACUGGUCGCCCAGUCUAUCAACUCCGAACUUUAAUAUAUCGCACCGACCACUGAGCGCUCGAUGCUUGGGGACUGGUCGUCAAACAAUUGUACACCCGGGGACUGGUCGAUUAGUCUAUUCAAUUGCUGAUGAACUAGUAAAUUCAAUUUUAAUUUUUUAGACCUUGCUACAAGGCUCAUACUUCGCCUUCCAGCAAGCUCGGGGACUACAUCGGUACGAUACAUCUGGCGAUGCAUCUCAGUUUCUGAAUUUCUUUGAGGACUUUUCUUUUGACCCUGGCACCACGUGCCUACGUCACCUACUACCAGGCUUGAGGACUAAGUGGGCACACUUCACCUUGCGGUGAAUAUGCUUGCUUUUUUGAAGUUUAUACUUUUCUUAAAAGUAAAGUGGGCACACUUCACCAGGAAAGAAAUCUUUUUUAAUUUAGAGCACCAUGCAUUCUUCGAACAAUCAGCUUCUUUGAUGUCAAUAUUGAUCAACUAUCUUUUGAGUUGGUCAAAGUACCGUUGCAACUGUUUGGGCGACUCUUUUGUUUACUGAAGACGUCAAGCCUCACUGAUCGAAGAAGCUCAAGACGACGUGUUACAUCACAAUACAUGGUGCUCGGGGACUAGCUGUGGGGGUAUAAACCCCUAUACCCUUACAGCUAGACUUGGGCCAGGAGGCUUGGCCCAUUAUGAGACAAGCUCAAGGUUCGAUCCGAUAGCUUGGAGUUUCGCGCAAGGAAACAAGACGUGGAGAUCAAGCAGGAUUCUAGUCGGUUAGAAUAGGAAUUGAUAUCGAACUAUCUAUGGCAAUUGUAACCGACUAGGAUUAGUUUCCAGAUCUGUAACCCUGCCCUCCGGACUAUAUAAGGAGAGGCAAGGGACCCCCCUAGGACAUCAUAUUCUCUCAACACAAAUCAAUACAACCAGACGCAGGACGUAGGUAUUACGCCAACUCGGUGGCCGAACCUGGAUAAAAAGCUUGUCCGUGUCUUGCGUCACCAUCGAGUUCGUAGUUUGCGCACCGUCUACCGAUAAACUACUACCGUGGGUAUACCCCAAGGUAGACUGCCGACCAGCUUUCGUCGACAGAGCUGGAGAAAUUCAAUUCACUAUCAAUGGGGCCCAAGAGAAAUUCAACUUCAAGCCAAAAGUUGAGCAGUGCUCAAUGAUCUUGGCUACAGAACUGGCUACAAUUAUUGCCCUAACGCACACCAAAAAGAAGGCUAAAUCAAAACCACGGGCAAAAGCCAAGCAAAUAUGGAAGAGAAAAAUAGUGCCUCCGCCCAAGAAGGCCUCUACAGCACCUCAGGGAGGUCUUGAUGAAAGGACCUGAGGCAACUGCUCUUCCAUCCAGGUAAGUCAAACCAAGGUGAGUUUUCAAACUUUUAAAAUUUAGCAUUUAUUUUCAGCAUUUAUUUCUUAGUUUUUCUUAAUUCAAAACAUUUUUCUGUCGACCACAGUUGUGCAUAAUAAAACCUAAAAUCAACCUCUGCUUAACAUGCAGAGCAAAUGGACACCAGGUGGGGCCCAAGGCCAGGUCGGCCGACCUACCCUUGGUGGGUCCACCUACUCAAUUUUGCUCCAUCAUCACACAAUCCCAUGCUCAUGUCUGUGCCAAAGUGAAAACUAAAUUUCAUGACAUGAAUUGCUUCACAUGCCUACUAGAGAAUCAAGAUGAAGCUAGCUUGGUAACUUUUGUGACGUUAAGCAAAGAAGUUUUACAGCAUAAUGCUUUUUUUCUCUGUUUGAGUACCACCAGAGCCUAGGGGAGGCCAAAUCACGGUCGGCCGACCAUGAUAUUGGGCCCACCUCCCUCCAGCUCCUGGUAUUUGUGAUCUUAUGGCUCUAGGAUGAGUGUUGCAAGAAUGUAAGAUAGGUGGUUGUCGACUUGCAUUCCUAGGAAUUAGUGGCUCUCCCUCACCUGCUUGCUUAGGAAAAUAGAAUUAACAAAUUGGCUAUAAGUGAUCCAAGAUACUAGAGGAACAUUUUCAUGACAAUCCUUCUCCCUAACAUCACUUAUGCCCCAAUCCACCAUUCAUUUUGGCUAAGCAAGCUUAUUUAGCACUAAGCUAAUCAUAAAAGGAUGAGAAGGAUUCUCCUGUGAGAACUCAUGACACAAAAUGCCACCAACUCCUAGUCUUGUCUUGCCCCCUCUCUUUUGCUUUCUUUCCUUUCAUCACUUCAUCCAAGAAAGGGAGAUGCCAUGCACCAUCAUCCAAAGCAAAAUAGGGGCAUGUUAUGCAUGCACCCAACAUGGAAUGACCUCCACUCACUCUCAUCUUUGACACAAAGCAAAGGGCGAGGAAAGGUGGGUCGGCCGACCCAUGAAGGAGGGCACCCUCACAUGCAUUGUGAUCCACCUCUCAUAGUAUUGCUCCUAGUGGGUUCACUUUUUGAAAUUGUGGAGAGAGGCCGGUUGACCGACCACGCUCUGGUGCACCCAGCAUAGCCAUUUGCUCGCAAUGCAUUCCAGAAGGUAGGUGCCACGACCACGCAGUAAAAAUGUCCAGAGGGGCAGGUCGACCGACCUUCAUAAUUCCACACCAGCACUUCUCCUUACUCCCUCCUUCAUCCAAACACACUCACACUCUUGUGCACUCAACCAACUAGUAAGAAACCCAUUCUCCUCUCCAUUUCUUAACCAUCCUUUUCUCCAAAACAAAAAUCCAAAAAUAUUUUCUUUUUAUCCUUACCAUCCAAGAGUUCAUCAUCAUGAAGAAAGUCAGGGGUUGGUGGAAGUCGGUUCUCCAUCGAAUUUCCCUUAGCUCUAGUUACUCCUCCAUGCAAGAUGCCCAGAGUCAAGCAUCAAGGGAGGAAGUAUCAUCUCCGCCACCUCAAGUAAAUGAAGAAGCCAUCCCCGAGAAAAUUCAAGAUGAGGAAACCGGCAUAUGGCUCACUCCCGUUGAGAUGGAGAAGCUUGAGGAACUCCGCGACCGUGAAUUUAUUCACACCAAGGUGAUAUCUCUUGACUUUCUCCGAAGCAUAGGCUUAGAUGAUGAGUUCACAUAAGUUUUCGAGAAAAUGGGGUGGGAUGAAUUUUUGAAUUUUUCUAAUGUAAAAGGAAGUAAAAUUCUCACCCUAGAAUUUCUAAGCACCCUAAGAAUAACAAAAUAGAAAUUUUAUUUUAGAGUGCUUAAUAAGUCUGACCUUCUAUGGGAUGCUUUCUCUACAUGUCUUGGUUUUGAUAUUCCCAACAUUAAAAUUGAGCAUGUCACUAAGCACAUGAACAAUAAAGAAUUUUGGUAUGAUAUCACUGGGGAAAAUUAUAAGGGAUGGCAACCACAUACUAGUGACAUAUGCAAUCCUACCUUGCUUUUCUUGCACCAGUGGAAAGGACUCACUUUGUUCCCUCGAGACGACAUAAGAAUUAUUAGGGAAAUUGACACUAGAAUCCUUUUUGCCAUGGUUCAUAAAAUUCCAAUUUCACCAAUGGUAGAAAUAGCUAAACAUUGGUUAUGGGCAUCAUCCCAACCAAGGAGGUGGACCAUGAAUUUAUUUCUGUGGUUACAAAAUUUUGUGCACGCCUUAAUCUGCUCAAUAACUUUGAUAAAUACAUAACUACUCCUAGAGUUGUCUUGCACAAAAGAUUUUAUAUUCAGGGCCAAUAUCUUAUGGGAGGAGCAAAUAACACAAUGUUUUUAAAAGUUUAUAAUACCCAUGAAACAAUUUUGUUGCCCUAUGAAGAACUAAAAAUAUAUAGUGGCAACCCAUUACUCCCUAUGUGCAAAAGACAUAUGAGGCAUGCAGGACCAACCACACGUGCAAGAACACGAGCUGCAGGUGAUGAUGACAGUGACUAUGAGGGAAGUUUUAGUGGGUUGCAAACGCCCCAUUCGGGACGCAGGUCUGGUACCCACAGUAGCCGUAUGUCUUGUUCUUCUUUGCAUGAUUCACAGCCCCAUGCUCAACGCAUUGACAUGGACAUGCUGACCCAACAAAUUGGUGUGCUGCGCAUUGGACAUGAGGCUAUGCAGAACACUACAAAUCAAACCUAGCAAGCCCUCCUAGGUCUCCAAGUCCAACACAACAUAGGCUGGAAUAGGAUGUAUGCGCACUAUCAGAGGCCACUACCACCAAAUAUUCCAUUCAUCCCUAUGCCACCACAGCAGCAGCAAGACCCAUCUUCACAGUAUCCUCCACCAUAUCCUCAGCAACCCUCACAUCCUCCACCAUAUCCAUAUGACUAUCCACCAUAUCAGUGAGGAGGCAUGAGAAGAGACAAGCUUGGGGGAGAUCCUCUCCCCCACCAAGGUAAGUAUUCUGGCUCUUUUAAAUUUAUUGCAAUUUCAGUAUGUUCUAUGCUUCAUGAUAUAUAUAUAUAUAUAUAUAUAUUUGAAUAUGAUAAAAAUCCCAAAAAUAUGGCCAUGCAUGCCAUCUUUCUCUUGGAAAUGAUGAAUAGUUGCUGUGUUAAUAUUUCUCUAGUAUCUUGCACUCAACUUAGUAUUUUUCUAUGUAUGGAUCACUUGGCUCACAUAAGACCACCAUGAACCUGAUUUCUUUCUAUGGGAUGCAAGUGCUAAAACUAUGUCUAAGAUGUUGUGAGAUAUGAGAUAGUAAGACAAGAGCUGCUAUAUUUUUAUUCUAAGCUUAGAUGAUUAUCGGAGAAUUUAUUUGGAAAAUAUGUAGAACAAUGGUUCCUCAAUGAUUAUAAAAUUCCUACCAAGGCCAAAUAUUUAUGCUCCAUAUAUAUAUAUACAUACUUUAGUCAUAGCUGCUUGUUAUUGUUGGGGUUUUGUCAAGGACUGAACUUAACUUAGAUUGGAGUCAUAUGUUUAGACUGAGACACACUUUGCACCCACCAUAUAAAGCCAAUUCUUACACUGAGGAUUGCGCGCAACAUGCACCCUUCCAUCCACCAGAAAAAAUGCUCUUCUCAUAUACUGGGAGAAAGCAACAAAAUUUUUGCUAGGAAAAUACUCCAUCCACUUUUUCAAAUUGAUCUUUCUCUCAGUAUCCUUUUUAGAGAGACAUGGCCAAAAAAAAGGGGCGCACCCUUGUCAAAAGUCCCCAAACGUUUUGUAGAAGGAAAAGUUGGUAGCCAUGUAUCAAAAUGUUCUUUUCUAAGAGAGAAAGAUCAUGCCAUAAAAGGAGUAUAGUUUAGUGAUAGGAUCCAUUCCACACACUUGCACGUCUCAGUCUAGCAUAUGCCUUUGAUCUUAUCUUAGUUUGGUUUUUGAUUUAUCCCCAUACAAGAAGCAAGUAUGCCCACCUUCCACACCUACUGAAACUCCACAUAAAGCCUUAGCUAUAGGUUGUGAGAAAAGCAAUGCCUUUGGUACGGUACAUUGUCCACUUGAGAGAUUGAGAAAAAUCAAUUGAGGAACCUAGUUUUCUUUGUGAAAAAUUUGAAAAACCUCCGAUAUGAAACUUGCUAAGAAUAAGAAUUUGGUGCUCUAUAUCUAAUUGUUCUAUCUCUCAACUGCCCAAGACAAAGGAAAAGCCAAAAGCCCCAUGAAGAACUAAGCUAAAUGGGUGAGUCUUUUCAUAGCUAAAUUUUUCAUACUUAUGAGAAAUAAUUUGUUGCAUACAUGGUACUCUUGAAAUGUUGACACUGCAGCAACUCCUGAUCCACAGAGACUAAGUUUAAUUAUUUGCUCGGCACAAGCAAAGGUUAACCUUGGGGGAUCUUGUUGACGGUGGAUAAGCUACAAAAUUCACACAUGAAAACACUGUCAAUAGGCCGGAAAUAGUGGAAGAAUGGCAUAGCACAGGCGUAUUUUAUCACUAAGAGGUUCCACUUGUGCUCUAAGUAUUUGGGUGCAAGUACACUUACAUUUGGGGGAAAAUGAGCUCCUGGACCCACCAAGUCCUGGUUAGCCGACCUACACUUGGGGUGGUCCAGGUGCUGGCUCAAUUCUAGGAUCCUAAGGCAACACAUUAAAGUCCAUCUCGACCCUCAGAUCACACUUGUGUUUCUGUUCAAGGUUGAAAGAUGGAGGUACAAGGAUCCAUGGACCCACUAGAAGAACUAGACCGAAGAUGAACACAAGACACCCUCCAUGACAGAUGGGGAUAGCAAUGGAGCAAGACACCUCACAAAAUUUUGGUUGGCCGACCGGCCUUUGGUGGGUCCCACCUGCCAGCUCCACUCCACCAACCUCUAGGACCUUCUAGAAGGCUCAGGGUGGCCCCACCUCACAAAAUAUCAGGUCGACCGACCUAUGAUGUGGGCCCACCUAAGGUCAGUUACACUCCACCGACUUUGGCAACACAUGCAGAUGAUCUUGGAUGUCCAUCUAAGGCGGUUCCAAUGCCGAUUUAUCCAAGGGUGGAAAAGUGGGAAGCACACGGAUCACUGACGUGGCACCCCCUCUACUCCCCCUAUAAAUAAAGGUUGCAUCCACCAUCUCUAAGUAGAAGGUGUGUUCCAAUUUAGCUCUAGCUUUCCAGUUGUAAGUGUCAGUGUUAGUCUAGUGUGGGAGUUAGAAUUGAGUUGAGCGAAGCUCGGAGUCUCCGGAGUCGUCUUCUGGAGAGUCUGGUAUUCCUCUUUACCUUUUCUCUUGUAAGACUUUGAGUAUUUAAUAUAUUUACUUUUCCUUUACUUUUCUAAGUAUUUACUUUUAGUAUUUACUUAGUGCAGUAUUCUAUUGUAGUGACCUAGUCUGUCUUAUAGUAGUUAUAUACUAGCUAAGUUAGUCUUAAGUGCUUGGGUUGUUUUCUCUGCCGGUAAAACGGUGCUUGGACUAGGUCGUAUACUUAGUCUGAGUAGUAGGAGUUAGCAUAAGCGUGGUGCUUAGACUAAAGCCUGUCCUUGAAUACCACCGUAUCAAACGUGAUAGCGGGCGGUGGCGAAGCGUGACACGCCUCUACAUCCCAGUAGGUUCUAUUCACGUUAGGUAUGGUCUGUAGGCGCCCAUAAGAAACGAUUCCGCUUGGAUAAGAAUUUUGUCCUCCUAUUGUUGUCGACUUCCAACAAACAAGCAGUUAAAUUUAGUGACGUUAGUGUGUGUCGCUACUAGAUUAGAUUGGGUCACAGGAGUAAAGUUAAAGUCAUAGGAGUCUUUUCUCACUCGUUGUCCUCCCACCUAGCUGCACUACACUAGUUAUCUCAGAGUUAUCCAGAACCACAUCAACCUUCCUCUACGUCUUUGUUACCUCACUACCUUAGUUGAUCCUAGCUGGGAUAGGAUUUCUAAUCCUUGCUAUCUCCUCUAGCACGCUUUCCCUUGGAUGAACUAUAAAUCACGACACCGCGGAUACUCACCAUGGUCGAAGUCCUGCAUUGGUAUCUGUGCGCUUGUAGAGUUACCCCUGGUAUAUCUUGCGUCAUCGCUAGAGCUUAGUGUUGCUUAGCAUUUCUGGAGCCGUUGCCUAGGGUAGCCUGACAACCUAUCGUAGUAACAGCUCAGGCUUGCAUUUAAGCACUGCUAGUUAGGCGCCACCAUUUCUAGAUACUUGUCACAUCUUACUCUAGCCGGUGUGCGUUAAGAUUUGCCAAUAAUUUUGCCGAUGAGGCUUUGAACAAGGAUGAUGAACUUAUGAUGGCCAUCAUCACUCCCUAGGCAAUCCUAGUGAAUAUAUUCAGUAGUGGGACGAACAUCAGCAUCACCUAUGAAUUCUACAAUCCAUCGACAGUAUCAAGUCAAUUGGCCUUUGGACAGCUCCCAAUUAAACUCUACUUUGCUGAUGUCAUUAAGCCAAGAGAAACAAUCACCAACAGAUUGGACUAGGACAAGGUAGUGCAACUCCCCCCUGAUGUCGAAACUACAGAUAUGGUGCCAGCUUCCUUCAUCACUGAAUCAUACAAGUUAUGGUGGCAAGAGUGGAAGGGACAAUUAUUUGUAGCAUCUUUCCAUACAUAUCGGCAUCUGAUCGACCCUGAGCAUAUCGUCCCCGAUGACACAGUAAGUUUCUUUUAACACUAGUUUCUCCUUCAAUUUUAAUUUCAUUGGCAACUAAUUUUCUCGUGACAGAUCGAUGACCCAGCACCAACCACGAGUAGGAGUGGGAAAACCUUUGACCUUCGACCCGUAUCUCCAAUAUCAACGAUCGGCUACAAUGUUCCCACCUUGGCUAUUCUGACUCAUCAGGGAGCCCGAGCCAAGAAAGUCACUACCAAGCCAAAAUUGGCUAAGGCUGGGGUCACUCUAUCGGCUGCCGCUGCGACCCUGGUAGAAGCGUUCAAGGUAACAACCCUGUUUAUUCCAAUCCAUGCCGAUUUCAAAUCGUACUCACUCAAGAACUACAAUUGGAUCAUCAUCGGCAAUUCCUCUUGCAUCAGACACUACCAUCUCUGACAAGCCUUCAUAGGUAUUCCUUCAACUUUAUAUUUAACUUGUUAAAUAUCAUAUAUUACACCCAUCUUGCAACAACAAACGAGUACAUCCGCAAGUGUCCCAGAUGUCCAACCUUCACAACCAACAAGUGCUGAUGCCCGCCAACCAACUGUUGCUAAGGCCCAAACAAAGUGCAAAGCUUCAAUAGGCACCAAAGCACAGUCAAAAUUGCAGAAGUCCGUACCAAUCUCAACACCUCAACUAGCACCUCUGAGCCAGCCAGAACCGGCUGAUGCACCUGAGCAAGCAGUCGAUCCAUCUGCGCAAGGUACGUCAUCGGACGUUGUACCCCAAGAACCAACUACAGAUGAGACUAUAGAGCAUUUGCAAUCUAUCUUGGCACCAAUUAACCCUGCGCUGAAGACAUCCCAUCGGUAGGCACAGUCGAUCCUUCACAUGGCGCACUCCAGAUUGCUUCCUCUAGUCAAAAGCAAGAGAUUGCCUUGAAGCAAGUAAGCCGACUAACUUAGCUGAUUUAUAAUAUUCAUACUUGUCCUGAACUGACCCCUUUUCUUCUUCUAGGAACAAGACUCUCCAAACAGUUUAUUCUCCUUUGCCAUCAAUGUUUCUGACGAUGAGGGGGAGGAGAUAAGCUCUGCACUCGCACUGGGGAUAGUAUCGGCAGAAGUCAAGUCCAAGCUGGAGGCUCUACGGAACCUGCUGUAGCAAGACACCGCCCAGAUGGUACAUGAUUCAGACCCUACAAAAGUGAUUUUCAAAAUGAUCCAUGGCCAAGUCUCUGCCAACAUUGAGGAGGCACUCUUCCCAGCAGCCCACUAAGAAAGCUGACAACUCUAAUAUCAGAAGGCUGCCCAAUGCAUUGCCGACAGAGCUGCUCAGGCUCAGCUUAAAGAAGAGAUGCUACAAUUGAAGUAGACUGCCAAUGAUAAGCACAAGAACAUCGGCAGUUUGAAGACCUCAGGUGCUGAACAUAAGUAGAAAAUCUUAGACUUAUUGGCAAAGAGAACAGCCCUACUAGCUGAGCUGAAGGAUGUCAAGCAGCUCUAACUCAUGUCGAGCAGGAAGAAAGCCAGUUAUCCGAUGCUAUCAAGGCCUCCAGCAAGAAAGAGAUAUCCAAGCCCACAAAGCCCUGGCGGUGAAGAAAAAGCUUAAGCAUGUGGAUGGUGCCGCCGAUGAAGAUAUCAAAUAGAUAGAGGAAGCCGAUCAGAUUCACCUACGUGCGAUAUCGGCUAACCAGACUUUAUUAAAUUUGUAAAUCUUAUUUAUUGGCAGUGCAUUGCAUCACUACUUUAGGAAACACUGAUAUUCUUGUACGAUUUUGGGCGAUAAAACUGUUAUUUGCAUUUCUACUUUUAUGCAUCCAUCUAGAUACUAGGGUAAUAUUUCUUUAAAUAUUUUCUGUUCAAUGCUCUAGGAAAUACAACCCCUUCGAGGUUUCUAGAAUGUAUGCGUUGCUAGGAGCAGAUCGAUUUAUCCGAUAAGGACCUUCCCAAUUAGGAGACCACUUGCCAAACUUCGAACUUUUAGUCCCAAUCGGUAAAAUCAAUUUCCAAACCAGAUCUCCAUCGGCAAACUCCUUUGCCUUCACCUUCUUGUCAUACCAUCUGGCUACCCUCUUUUUAUUUUCUUUGAUGCUAACUAAAGCCCUCAACUGAUGACCUGCCAAGUCUUCUAAUUCAUCUUUCAUAAGAGUAUCAUAGUCACCAGCUGCCAGUUGAUCCUGAGAAAAUAUCCGUCUAGAGCUAGUUUUAAUUUCCCAAGGCAAUACUACGUCAUCCCCAUAUACUAACUGAUAAGGCGAUACAUUGGUUGUACCAUGACAUGCCAUCCGAUAUGACCACAGAGCCUCAUUCAAUACUGUGUGCCACCGCCUAGGAUUUUCCUCGAUUCUGCGCUUAAUGAGUUUGAUGAUUCCUUUGUUAGAAGCCUCGGCCGGACCAUUAGCUUGGGCAUAAUAAGGAGAAGAAUUCAAAACUUCAAAACACAUACCGAUAGCAAACUCAUCAAAUUCUCGCGAUGUAAACAUAGUACCCUAAUGGGUAGUGAUAGUUUGAGGAAUACCAAAUCGGUAAACAAUAUGCUCUUUCACAAAAUCGAUCAUACUGGGCGAUGUUACCUUUUUCAAAGGAAUUGCUUCAACCCACUUUGGGAAAUAAUUGGUAGCAAUAAGUAUAAAUUUAUGCCCUUUGCUCGAUGGUGGAUAAAUCUAACCUAUGAGAUUGAUAGCCCAUCCCCGGAAUGGCCAAGGUUUAAUUAUAGGAUUCAUGGCCGAUGCAGGCGCUCUUCGAAUGUUGCUGAAAUUUUGACACCGCUGACAUCCUUUAAAAUAUUUAAAGCAAUCUUCAAGAAUAGUCAGCCAAUAGUAUCCAUUCUUACUGAUCAUCCAUUUCAUCUUUCAAAGCCGAUUGAUGUGCCCCGCACACUCCUUCAUGCAUUUCACCCAUCAAGCUUUUCAAUUCAUCACCGCUAAGACAUCUAAGUAAAACUCCAUCUAUAGUCCAAUGAUAUAACUCAUCAUCAAGGAGCACAUACUUAGUAGCUUGAAAUCUUAUACGUCUUUCAACCUUCUUAGAUGGAUCCCUUAAGUAAUCGACAAUCUCCGUUCUCCAGUCAUCGACAUCAACUGCUAAUGUCAGCACCUCCUAGAUAGGCUAAUACCUGAAGCAUGCUGAGCUAGCUGAUUAGCCUCUUCAUUAUGCAAUCGAGGAAUAUGUUCAAGACAAAAAUCUUUAAACUCUUUCAACAAUUGCAAACAUAUAUCAUAAUAUUUGAUUAAAACUUCACUUCGGCAUUCAUAAAUCCCAGCCAAUUGAUUUAUAACCAUCAUAGAGUCACCAAAGAUCUCAACAGCAUCGGCACGUAUCUCUCUAAGUAACUCCAACCCUUUUAUCAAAGCUUCAUACUCAGCCUGAUUGUUUGUCGAUGUAACAACAAUCGGCAAUGAAAACUCAUACUUCCUUCUUUGAGGUGAAAUCAACACAAUGUCGAUACCUGCUCCUUCACCACAUGUAGACCCAUCAAAGAAAGUGUCCAAGGAGCACUGUGUUGCAAUGCUGAGUGACAAAAUCGGCCAUAACCUGCCCUUUAACUGCCUUAGACGACUCAUUACGUAGGUCAAAUUCUGACAACGCUAAAAUCCCACUUGCCGAUUCUACCACUCAAUAUCAGCAUCGACAACAUGUAUUUGACCAUGUCAUCCUUGCAUAUGACAGCACAUUCAGCCGAUAGCAAAUAAUGCCUCAAUUUAAUACAAGAAAAGUAUAAACAUAAGCAUAGUUUCUCGAUGGCUGAAAAACUUGUCUCAGCAUCCACCAAUCUUCUACUCAGAUAAUAAAUAACACAUUCUUUCCAUCAAUUUAAGCAAUAGACUGAAAGCCUUGAUCUUGCCCGAUAGAUAAGAUAUGAACCUUCUGAUGAAAUUAAUCUAGGUGAUCAAAGAUUGCAUUUCAGUUUUAUCGGUAGGAGCAACUACCUUAUUAAUUGUAUCAAUAGACCUUCUACUGAUUUCGAUACCUCUUUGAUGCACCAUAAAACCCAAUAAUUGACCUGUCGAUACACCAAAUGCACAUUUAUUAGGAGUCAUCUUUAAUCCAUGCUUCCUCGUGCACUCCAGUAUCUUCCAUAGAUCGGCUAGAUGUUAUGCGAUAUCCCCAAACUUAACCACCACAUUAUUAAUGUAGAUUUCCAUUAAUGUGCCGAUGUACUCAUGAAAAAUAAAAUUCAUAGCUCUCUGCUAAGUAGCACCGACAUUUUUCAAACCGAAGGUCAUGAGUAUCCACUCAAACAACCCCACAUGACGUGGACAUCUGAAAGCAGUCUUGGGAAUAUCUUCUCCAGCCAUGAAUAUUUGAUUGUAACCUGCAUUACCAUCCAUGAAGCUGAUAAUCUGAUGUCCGGCUACAACAUCAACCAACAAAUCAACAACAGGCAUUGGAUAGCCAUUUAUCGCUGUAACUUUGUUGAGGUUCCUGAAAUCAAUACAAAUACCAAAUUUGCCGUUUCUCUUAUAGACAAGAACCACAUUAGAAAUCCACUCAGCAUAUCAACAUUGCCGAAUAAACUUUGCCUUAAUCAAUUUAUUUAUUUCAGCCUUAAUGUCAAGAAGUACAUUAGGGUUGCAUCGGCGUGCUGGCUGCUGAUAUGGCCGAAAUCUAGACUUGAUAGGUUUCCGAUGUUCAACUAUCAAUCAGUCUAAUCCAGGAAUCUCAGUAAAAUCCCAAGCAAAACAAUCUUUAUAUUCCAUCAACAAAUUGUUCAAUUGCUGCUUAUACUUGGAAUCUAACUUAGCACUAAUAAAAGUAGGCCUUGGCCUAUCACCACUACCAAUAUCUACCUCUACUAAAUCAUCAGCCAAUGUGAACCCCUGACCUAACUUUCCAUUAUCGGCAAACAUAUCCAUUAAAACUCCUCUUCAGAAUUGAAUGCUUGGAUCGGUGGAAUUUCAUAAUCAGCAACUCUAAGGAACUCCUUCUCCCAAGCUUCUCCUGAUAUGCAUUUGGUUUGCUCAUAAGUAUCUGAUUCUGCCGAUGCGAUGAUGUAAGAAGAGUCACCAGGGACAACCUCAAUAUUAUCCUCAACCCACCGUGCGAGGCAUUGAUGCAUUUUUGAAGGAACACAACAAUUGGUAUGAAUCUAGUCCCUUCCUAGAAGCAGAUUGUACGCACCCUUACCAUUGAUAACAAAGAACGUCAUCAGUAAGGUUUUGCUGCCGAUAGUCAACUCAACACAUACUGCCCCUUUGGCUGGUGACAUAUUGCCUUCGAAAUCCUUUAGCAUCAUAUCGGUUUUGGUCAAGUCUUGAUCUCCUUUGAAAGUUUCUGAUACAUCACAUAGGGCAUAAUAUUAAUCACAGCUCCCCCGUCGAUAAGUAUCUUAGAUAUAGGCUGCCCAUCAACUCUGCCCUUAACAAACAAAGCUUUGAGAUGCUAUCUCUCGUCAUCGGUAGAUUUCUCAAAAACAGCCAUCAUUGGAUCUAGUGCCAACUAAGCUACUUGAUUGGAGAGAACAACUUCUUCCUCAUAAUUAGAAGGUGCUAGAAACUCUAUCGGCAACAUAAAUACCAUAUUAAUAUCUGUCGAUGGGCAAUUACCCUUGUGUUUCGAUUGCGACUGCCGAUCUUCAAGCCUCUCAUUGGAAGAGCUUUCCUCUCUGUAUAGGUCUUCCUGAUGCUCACACUGCAUCCUCCUCUUUUGUGUCUUUGUCAGACCCUCAGGGCACCAUUGGGAAAGCUUAGUUUUGAAGACCAGCUGAUAACGGGUCUCAGUUGACUCUACACGACGUAUAUUAGGGUCCCUGUAGAAUACUUUUUCAUCGAGAACUCUUGCGUUUGCCAUCUCCUCAAGCUCUUCUUGAUUCAUUGGAAAAUAGCCAGUGCGCUUACCAAGCCUUUCAUGUACACUGAGUCUACCCCUAGGCGAUCAUGCACUGAUGCUCUGCCUCUGAUUGGCUCAUGGAUAGCUAAGCCCUGGUUACUAGGCUGAAACCUCCUUUCUCACGGAUUGGCUCGAUAGUAACCAUUGCACUCAGAGCAAUUUUCAACAGUUGGCAAUUUAAUGCCUUCUUCCUAGCAGUAGAUGAAAAACGGGCACCUCCAAUGAUCUUUAUGUUGAUGCCACUCUUUUCGAGAUCUCUCUUCUUGCUGUUGUCGAUAUCGGUCCUCACGCCGACGCCAAUCCUCCUGCUGCCUUCCUCCAUGUUGCUGUCGAUGAGUGAUGACAAUGCCAGGUUUCUUGGAACUGCCACUUUCUUCCAGCAAGCCCUUUCCUUUUGUGUCAUUAGUAGUUAUCCGAUGUUGGGGAUCCAUCGAUGCAUUCUUCUCAGCAGCCUCUAAUGUCAAUACCUUGAUCUUACCCUUGGUAUCCAACAUAUUUGUUGGGAAAGGAUGCUGAUCGAUUUUCAUUGGCUUAUGGGUCUUGGAGUUGUCAAACUUAAUUCUCCUAGACUCGAUAGCCAAUUGCAAUUGCUACCUGAACACCUUGCACUCAUUUGUACUGCGUGAAGUUGCGUUAUGCCAUUUGCAGUACUUGAUCUUCUUCAACUCUUCUGCCAAUGGAAUUACAUGAUUGGGUGAUAGCUUAAUUUGACCUUCUUGAAGCAAAAGAUCAAAUAUCCUAUCAGCUUUGGUGAUGUCAAAAGUGAACUUCUUUGGUUCUCUCUGACCAAAAGGACAAGAUAUCGACCUUUUAUUCUUAACCCACUCAGCCAAGGCAAUUACUGGUUCUUGAUCAGAAUUAGAGUCUUCUACCUCAUCGACAAAUGACACCUUUUCGCUGCAAUUCUUUCUAGCCUCAAAAACCCUAGUGUCCUGAUCAGAGAUCCUUUGUACAAGAUGACUUAGGCUUUCAAACUCCUGAGAAGCAUACUUGUCCUUGAGAUGUGGUAAUAACCCUUGAAAAGCUAGAUCAGCAAGCUGCCGAUCAUCUAGCACCAGGCUAUAGCACUUGUUCUUCACAUCUCGUAGCCUCUGCAUAAAGCUUUCUACUGAUUCAUCAUUAUGUUGCCUCAAUUUUACUAAAUCGGUAAGCUUCUUUUCAUGGACUCCAACAAACAAGUACUUAUGAAAUUGUUUCUCUAGAUCGGCCCAAGUAAUAAUAUAAUUUGGUGGCAAUGAUAUGAACCACGUGAAUGUCGAUCCAGACAAAGAUGAUGAAAAUAUUCGAACUCUUAAUUCAUCUGUGCUAGCUGCCUCUCCACAUUAAAUAAUGAAGCGAUUGAUGUGCUCCAUUGUCGAUGUAUCAUCUUGUCCAGAGAAUUUGGUGAAGUCUGGUACCUUGUACCAAUUUGGGAGAGAAAUCAAAUCAUAUGCUAGAGGGUAUGGUGUCCGAUAAGAAUAAGCAUUAACUUUGGGUUUUAUCCCAAACUGAUCUCUCUUGAUUUCUGCUGUCUUAUCGGCCCAAUAAGCAUCAGCCCCCUACCGACGAACUGGCUGAAUUUCUACAGGAGGCACCUGGUGCUAUGCUUCCACGUGUCUUUGUGGCACACGAUCUCCAGCAACUGGCAUAUUCGCCGCUGCUUGUGGCCUAGUAACCUGCUGGACAGGGUUCAUCGGCUGAGCUGCCGAUGCCUGAUUCUGAAAGCUAGCUUGUAUAUGACCUUGCUGAGUUCGUGCAACUUGAUAGUUUUGCUAAACUUAUGCUAAACAGGUAACUGUCCUGACCAACCAUUAUUAGAAUUCAUCGACACAAAGCUUGUCGAUGGUUGGUAACUUGCUGACAUUGUUGGAUAACAAUUAGCAUGACCAGCUUGAGUAAUGAACUGCACCAUAGGUUGACUCAUAGCAGGAGCCUUCUGUUGCAUCGGCAGCAGGCUUGCCAAUGAACUUGUAUUGGGUGCUUGAAACGAAGGCACAUGGAAACCUCCUGAAUUUGGUUGUACAGUAGUCGAUGUAGCAUAUUGAGGUACCUGAGUAAUCGGCAUUUAGUUGCACAGUAGUCGAUGUAGCAUAUUGAGGUACCUGAGUAAUCGGCAAAACUGGAGCAGCCGAUGGUACAAGAGCUUUUCUUGCUGCAUCAAACACUUGAGGCAACCUAGAGCUGAUGGAAGACAACUCUAGAGGCAUACCGUAUCCCCACCAAUUAGCAGGAAUCUAGCUGUUCUGAGACACAGGCCCAACGUAAAGUGGUGGUGCUUGUCCUUCUUUAAAAGUUUGAACCACGGCAUUGUUAACAGUAUUGGACAUCACAUUGGAGUGGUUAAUCAAAGCAUGAUUUGCUAUACAAUUAACCAUCUCUUGAAGUUUACCAGGAUUAGAGUCAAAGGUAACCUGCCGAGGCAACAACAGAUCUUGCUUCUAGAUGACUUCUCCACUCAUGUUCAAGCUAAAUGAUUUUAGACAGAGCUGCCUGUAAUCCUCCAUAGCCUUUUCCAUAGCCUAGUUAUGCUCUUCCUUGAGAUCUCCUUCUGAUAUCGUGAUGACGUUCUUCUUGUCGAUCUCAGGAUUCAGCAUGUUGAUCAUGUUGACUUGUCCCACCGAGCAUGCCAAAAGAUGUGUUGAUGUAAAAGUGGAUCUGCAAACACAAAGGGCUAAUACCCAAUCUGAUAUCCAAAGUGUGCCAGUCGAUUUGACCCGUUAAUCGACAAGGAUGAUAACUCGAGUACUUUGGUCCUAACAACAGCGAUGCGCCCGGAAGCCACGGCCAAGAGGUACUCACACGGAACUCAAGGAUCAUCAAAGGUUGCAAUGAAGCGAUGCAGCUUGUCGAAUCGAUGAGAACUUGUAAAAAUAAAAUACGCAAAUUGACAAAGUCGCCGAAAAGUAAGUAGAUGCAACUAGGAGUAAAAUUGGUUUGAUAUUGAUUGAUGUGUUUUUUUACAUUGCCCCUCGGUCAAUAUUUAUACCCUGAUUUGAAGAAACCUAACCAGACACGACUAGAACACCGAGUCCAUAUCUAAGGAAAAACAUGACUCUUACAUGAGUCAUACUCUAACAAAUACAGAAAAGGAAUACGACACCUAUCUACUUCCUUGUCCGCCUUAAUUACAAUAAAACUUUCAUCGGCUUCCGCUCCAUUCGCAUGCUUUCCGUCAUCAUAAGCUUCAUUGACAGUAGUCUCUAGAUCUUCCUUCAUCGACAUCGGCAAUGACACCUCCGAUCUUCUCAGCAACGCCUCUGAGUCUAAGUCAAACGACAACCUUUCCAUCGGUCACCACCACUCAUCGACAACAAUCCUCAUAGGCUGAUCUUCAUCGGCACCCUUUUACCAGCAUAAUACAAUAACUUUCCUUCUGUCGAUUAGCCCACUCUGAUCAUUUUGACAGGUGCCAAAAAUGGUGUCACAGAUGGAUUUUAUUACUACAAGAAUUUGACUUAGAAAUAAAAGAUAAAAAGUGUUGGUGCAAAAGUAGAUUUGCAAACACAAAGGGCUAAUACCCGAUUCAACGUUAAGGCGUGCUCGCCGAUUUGACCUUACAAUCGACAAAUUUGAUAACUCGAAUACUUUGGUCCCGACAACAGCGAUGCGCCCGGAUGUCACGGGCAAGAGGUAUUCACGCGGAACUCAAGAACUCGCUGAGAUUGACUCGAUGAAUCCUUAAGAACUCGUAAGUAAAAAGAAAAUAUGCAAGGUGACGAAGUCGUCGAAAAGUAGAUGCUGGAAUAGAUGUAAAAACUUGUGUUUGAUUGAUUGUGUGUAUUCUUACAUCGCUACGGGGUCUACGUUUAUACCCUGUCCAAAAGAGUUACAAUCAGACACGACUAGGUCUCAAAUUCCAAAUUGAACGGAAUCCGUAUGCAAAGCAAACUCUAAUAACUAUGGAAAACAUUAAUUUAACCACCACAACCGAUCGGCACAACAUCACCAUCCGAUCGAACAUUCCUAUGCCUCCUUUUGUGUCCAUCGGCAAAUCAUCUUUCAUAGCCAUCGGCAACCAUCAGCACCAGUCAUCGGCAUAAAUCCAUCACCACUCCCGGACUUGGCCACAUUCUGUUGUUUCAUCAUCGGUAUGAACCCUCAUCGGCAACUCUUCUGUCAACCAGUCACCACUUUACUUGCUUGCCGAUCUACGCCUCAUUAACUCCCAGAUACGCGUCCAAAGAUACGUGUCCAAAAACGGUGUCAACACAUGCCCCCCAAUUUCGGAGUAUAAAAUCAUUAAUGCUCCGAAUUUCUCCCCAGUAAUGAUGCCUUUCCACAAUUACUCGUUCCUGUCAGUAAUUAAUUACCAAAUCCAAACAACCUUAGCCCGGUCUUCCAGGACGCACCUCGAAUCUCUCAACUUCUCGAACCGAAUCUUCCCAAUACACGUUCAUCGGCAAUGUUUCUGUUAGAAAGGAUUGCCGAUGGGCCAACUAGGAGAUCUUCUACAGUGAAACAUCACCCAAAAUCAUGACCGCUUGCUGUCAAAUCAACCGCGCAAUGCCUUGAUUAUCAUGCGAAUAGUUACCAUAUCUACCUGAGCACCCUCGAUUUUCACGGAUACGGCAAAGAGAUAAGUCAGAAAUGCCCUGACCCUCUUUGUCCUAUAAAUACUUCCUUCUUCGGCACUCUUCCUCCACCUUGUCAUUCUACAUUCAUCAAACCCAUCUUUUUGGCGGUGGCAAUGUUCGAGGAGCCCAAGAACUCCAGUGAGCCCCAGUAGUUCUUCAAAUCAUCGAUCCUCUUCUUCCUUGGGAAGAAAAUGGCCAUCAACUUCACCGUCCCUGAGGUCAACCCUCUUCAUCCUCUUUUUGUUGUCGUACUUUUAUCUUCCGCAAAUCUAUUUACUGAGUACAUUCUUUCUUUAUUUUCCCUUUUUCUAUUCUUCCAACCUUUAAACCUUUAGGAAUUGGCUGAUAAAAUUGUGAUUCCCACCGAUCAACCCCACUUUCAAUGUCUCGGGCCACUGGGUAACCUGGAUCCUAUCGAUCUAAUCAACGCAGAGACAAAUAGAAUCCCCUUUAGAGCUGAAAAUUUCUCCUUAGAUCUAUGGAAAGAUACCUUCUGAUCCUGGCCCAGUUCUACUAAGGGAUGGAAGGAUUGGUUCUUGAGAAUCGGCAACUCAAACGAAGUCCGGUGAACGUAAAUUAGACCAGUGCAUCUGGUUGUCUGCUGCCGAUAUGGAAAGAAAUGAAUCACUACUGAUAGCAGCCUCGUAUUUCUGGUCAGACACCCUUAAUGCUUUCGUGUUUGGUCACGGCCCUGCUUCUCCUACCCUUGCCGAUGUACUUAUGCUUACUGGUCUGGAGAUAGCAACUGCCGAUGAUACCCACCUGUUCGAUAGUAAGCCUGAACGUAAAGUAGAAACUCGCAAUAUUAGCGGCUGGUCAGGGUACAUCAAAAAGUACCAGAAAACAUGACCAAUUGGGUAAAGGGAGCACGCCAACUUUCUGAACAUGUGGCUAGAUAAAUUUGUCUUCUGUGGCCGAUCGGUAGGGCCAACUUCUGUUUAUCUAUCGGCAGCAGAGAAACUAGCCGGCGGUGGUUGCUUCCCUCUUGGCUGAUACAUGCUAGGCUCUGGGAAAUUCAACUUCUUUGAGAGUUUAUAAAAUAUAAGCAUUACCAUGAGCAGUCCGAUUUAUCCGAUAAGGUCCCAAUUAGGAGAACAUUUUCCUAACUUUGAACUUUUAAUCCCUAAUGGUAAAAUUAAUUUCCAUACCAAAUCUCCGUCGGCAAACUCCUUAGCUUUUACUUUUUUAUCAUACCAUCUAGCAACUCUCUUUUUAUUCUCUUCUAUACUCAUCAAAGCUCUCAACCGAUGUUCUGCCAAAUCAUCCAACUCAUCUUUCAUCAUAGUAGCAUAGUCAUCGGCAGCCAAUUGACCUUGAAAAGAGACCCGCCUAGACCCAGUCUUAAUCUCCCAUGGCAACACCGCAUCGUGCCCAUACACCAACUUAUAAGGUGAAACUUUAGUUGAUCCAUGGCACGCCAUCCGAUAUGACCACAAGGCUUCAUUCAAUAAUGUGUGCCAUCUUCUAGGAUUUUCUUCAAUCUUUCGCUUGAUAAGCUUAAUAAUCCCUUUGUUAAACGCUUCGGCUUGUCCAUUGGCUUGAGCAUAAUAAGGAGAAGAAUUCAAUAUUUUAAUCCCCAUACCGAUUGCAAAUUCAUCAAACUCUCCCGAUGUGAACAUAGUACCCUGAUCGGUAGUGAUUGUUUGAGGAAUACCAAAUCGGUAAACAAUGUGCUCUUUCACAAAAUCAAUCAUGUUAGGCGAUGUCGCUUCUUCAAAGGAACAGCUUCAACCCAUUUAAUAAAAUAGUCAGUGGCAACUAAGAUGAACUUAUGCCCCUUGCUUGAUGGCGGAUAAAUCUAGCCAAUUAGGUCAAAAGCCCAUCCCCGGAACGGCCAAGGCUUAAUAAUAGGAUUCAUGGCCGAUGCGGGUGCCCUUUGAAUAUUGCCAAACUUCUGACAUCCUUGACAUCCUUUGAAAUAUUUAAAGCAAUCCUCAAGUAUAGUCAGCCAAUAAUACCCAUUUCUCCUAAUCAUCCACUUCAUCUUAAAAGCCGACUGAUGUGCCCCACACACUCGUUCAUGGAUCUCGCCCAUCAAGCUUCUAGCCUCAUCAUCACCCAAGCAUUUGAGUAAAACUCCAUCUAUCGUUCGAUAAUAUAACUCUUCUCCAAGGAGUACAUACUUGGUAGCUUGAAACCUGACACGCCUCUCAACCUUUUUAGAUGGAUCUUUUAAGUAAUCAAUGAUUUCUUUUCUCCAAUCAUCGGCACUGAUUGCCGAUAACAUAUUUAAGAUGGGUUGAUAUCCCAAGGCGUGUUGAGCCGACCGAUUAGCCUCUUCAUUAUGUAAUCGAGGAACAUGCUCCAAUCGGAAAUCCUUGAAUUCCCUCAAUAGUUGUAUGCUCUUUUCAUAAUAGGUUAUCAAAACUUCACUUUGGCAUUCAUAAAUUACAGCCAAUUGAUUUAUAACAAGCAUAGAAUCGCCGAAGAUCUCAACAGCAUCGGCAUGAACCUCUUUUAACAAUUCCAGCCCUUUGAUCAGAGCUUGGUAUUCAGCUUGAUUCUUCGGGGACGUGGCAACAAUCGGCAAAGAGAACUCAUACUUCUUUCCUCGAGGAAAAAUUAGUACUAUACCGAUUCCUGCCCCCCGGUCACACGUGGAUCCAUCAAAGAAGAGCGUCCAAGGAAUGAUCUCCAAAGCCCCUACUACACCGCAAUGCUGAGUCACGAAAUCGGCCAUAAUCUACCCUUUAACUGCCUUAGCCGAUUCAUAGUGCAGAUCAAAUUCCGACAGCGCCAAAAUCCAUUUGCCGAUUCUACCGCUCAUAAUCUACAUAGAUAGCAUGUACCGGACUACAUCAUCUUUGCAUAUAACAGUGCAUUCGCCGAUAGCAAAUAGUGUCUCAACUUGAUACAUGAAAAGUAUAAGCAUAAGCAUAAUUUUUCAAUUGCCGAAUACCUUGUCCAGAAUCCACCAGUCUUCUACUUAAAUAAUAAAUCACACAUUCCUUCCCUUCAAAUUCUUGAAUUAGAGCCGAACCGAUGAGCAUUCCAUCGGUAGACAAAUAUAAUCUAAAAGGUUUUCCUUGCUGAGGUGGAAUUAGAAAUGGAGGGUUUGUUAAAUAAUUCUUGAUUUCGUCCAAUGCUGACUGUUGCUCUCUUCCCCAUACAAACUCUUGAUCGGCUUUCAACUUAAGUAAAGGACUACAAGCACGAAUCUUACCAGACAAAUUAGAUAUAAAUCGUCUGAUGAAAUUUAUCUUGCGGAUCAAUGACUGAAGCUAAGUUUUAUUGGUGGGAGCAACUAUCUUGUUAAUGGCAUCAAUAGAUCUCCUACUAAUUUCAAUCCCUUUCUGGUGCACCAUGAAACCAAGAAAUUGUCCUGCCGAUACACCAAAUGCACAUUUAUUAGGAUUCAUCUUUAAACCGUGUUUCCUUGUGCACUCCAACACCUUUCGUAGAUCAGCAAGAUGCUUUGUGAAAUCUCCAGACUUAACCACCACAUCAUCAAUAUAGAUUUCCACCAACUUGCUGAUAAACUCAUGGAAGAUAAAAUUCAUAGACCUCUAAUAAGUAGCACCAGCAUUUCUCAAGCCAAAGGUCAUGACUAUCCAUUCGAACAACCUAACAUGACCAGGAUAUCUGAAUGCGGUCUUUGGAAUAUCUUCUUCAGCCAUGAAUAUUUGAUUGUAUCCUGCAUUGCCAUCCAUAAAGAUAAUGAUCUGAUGUCCAGCUACAACAACAACCAGCAAAUCGGCAACAGGCAUUGGAUAACCAUCCAUCGGCAUGGCCUUGUUAAGAUUCCUGAAAUCAAUGCAGACACGAAGCUUUCCAUUCUUGUGUAAACUGGAACGACAUUGGAAAUCCACUCGGCAUACCGACAUUGCCGAAUAAAUUUAGCUUCAAUGAGUUUAGUUAUCUCGGCCUUAAUAUCAGGAAGAAUAUUAGGAUUGCAUUGACGAGCUGACUGCUGAUGCGGCCGAAAUCCAGAUUUGAUAGGUAACCGAUGUUCAACAAUCGAUCGGUCUAAACCAGGCAUCUCGGUAUAAUCCCAAGCAAAGCAAUCUUUAUAUUUCUUUAACAAAUCAGUUAAUUGUUGCUUACACUCAGAAUCUAACUUAGCACUAAUAAAAGUAGGCCUUGGUCUAUCACCAUCACCUAUAUCUACUACUAAAUCAUCGGCCGAUGUAAACCCCUGGCCCAACUUUCCAUCAUCGGCGAACCUAUCCAUUAAAUCUCCUCGUUAGAACCGACUGCUUGGUUCGGUGGAAUUUCAUAAUCAGCGACUUUGAGAAAAUCUUUCUCCCAAAUCUCUCCUGAAAUGCAUCUAGUCCUUUCAUAAGUAUCUGCUUCUGCUGAUGCAAUGACAUAUGAAGAAUCCCAUAGGACAAUUUCAAUUUUGUCACCUACCCACUGAACCAAGCAUUGGUGCAUUGUAGAUGGGAUGCAACAAUUGGCAUGAAUCCAAUCUCUGCCCAACAGUAAAUUAUAAGCACCCUUUCCACUGAUGACAAAGAAAGUUGUCGGCAAGGUCUUGCUACCGAUGGUCAACUCAACGCAUAUGGCUCCCUUGACUGGAGACACAUUUCCUUCAAAAUCCAUUAACAUCAUAUCGGUCUCCCCCUGUCGUCGCGUGGUGCUGAGUCGUUGUGCUUGUUGCUCGGUCACGCGGUGUCGCUGCCUUGUGGCCCACAUCCUGCCUUGCGCGAGUUGCUGGUCGCGCUGAAGCAGAGGGGCCGCGGUGGUUGAGCCCGCGCCUCUUCUUAGGCGGAGAGGCGUGGUGGUGAGGGCGUCUUGGGGCCUUCAACCGUGCUGGCAUAACGCGGACUUCUCCUGGUCCUUUGACUGAGAGCAAGAUCAUGUCGUAGCCGGAGCCCGUAGACAUGAACUCGAGACUCCCAAACCAAAUCACCGUGGAGCGCGGAAGCGGCGAGGCAGGAGUAGCCAUCCGGAAAGUGGUGGGAAAUCGGUGAAAAACACGCAGGACCCCUACCUGGCGCGCCAACUGUCGGUGUUUUUCCCCCGGGGGGUCACAGCAACGAGUAAAUUUGUAUGCGUGCUCCCCUUUCCGGAUGGUGAUGCAAGAAGACACAGAGAUUUAUCCUGGUUCGGGCAAGAGAAGGCCCUACGUCCAGCGGGGGGAGAGAGUUUGUAUUAUCUUGCACCUAAGUGCUUGUACAGGGGCGAAUACAAGCGUGGUGUGAAAUGUGUAGCUCUACUACGUGUGUGUGUUCUUGCGUUGUGAUCUCUCUCUUCUAUUCCUGAGUCCCUCCUUUUAUAGCUCCAAGGAGAGACACAGGGUACAUGCAUAGAUAUUAGAGUAGGGAUCGAUAGCCGCAUGGAGCGCUGACCUACUCGAGGCUUCCGUACGUCAUGGCCUCGAGCCGUCCCAUCUUGAUAGCUUGGUGAUGAUUACGCGUGCUCCUGCGUGCUGCCCUGCCAGCCGCCUUGUGCUGGUUCUGAGGUCGCAUGCUCGUAUGGUAUGGUGGCGGAUCCGGCGGAGCAGCUGUGGUGUUGUCAGUCGAUGUCCGACUUGUCCCUGGGAAGGGACCUCGUUCGGUCGAGGGUCGGGCGCCGCGUAAUAUGCUGAUAUCUGGAGCGCUGACCUUGGGUGUCUCGAGGAGGUCCCGAUUAGACGUUCCAUCCUUGUUUCCUGUGUCCUGACUCGCCCUGGGUCGUUCGGUGGGAAGGCUGCAAAAAGAACGAUGGGACAGAAGCUUGCUCCCUAUCACGCCUUCCGUGACCUGUGUGUUAGGUGGGGAAGCGUCAGGUGCAUUUAAUGCUUCGGCUCGCGUGCGCGCGUCGGGCGGCGGACAGUGUCCUCGCGCCCGACACCUCUCGGUUCACUCGAGCCCGCUUCCGUCAUCGAUGGCAGCCGUCGCUCGAGUCCUGAACCGAUUCGCUCGAGACUAUUUCCGUCUUCGAGGCUGCGACCGUCGAUGGCGGCGCACACGUAAGAUCGGAGCGUCGAAUUAAGGGUCUCGACCUUCAUACGGGCAAUCUCAUAAUGCGUAUUGCUGAGGGUACCCCUUACCGAUACCCUCGACAGUAGCCCCCGAGCCUCCAUUUGAGCGCUAGCGCUCGAAUGGAGGUUUUGAUUUACGGUCGAAUUUUCGUGGGGGCGCGCGAGCGACCCCGCGGGGUAGCCCCCGAGCCCUCGGAGGAGUCUUUGACUCCUUCGAGGGUUAUGUUAUCUAAUUCGCAGAAACGCUUUCGACACCAGUGGUGGAAGGUUCUGACUGGCUCGUUUUUGCCCGGGGGUUUCGACGUACUCUUGAUAGAGCGAGCGUCUUCCAUCCCGAAUUGAGUUCCUAGCGGGCAGUCCAAGUGAGAACCUGUGCCCCUUUCGAGGGGGUCAGCUGUAUCCCGGAGGCGUCCUCAUAAAGCAGGGUCGACGUGGUCGGGGAUACUGGUCUCAUUCGAUAGAGUCCAGCGGCUCGAUGCCUCCCUUCGGGGGGAUUCCUCUCGACUGUCUCGACCCUACCUUGAACAUCACCAGCGAGUCCUCGAGGCGGGCCUCGAUCUUCGACCGCUCGCUGGUAUCCUUGACUCUGGCGCUCGAGAUCGGCUGUCGAACCCUUUCGGCGGGCCAGCCAUCGACCUCUCGAGACUUUUGCGGUUAUGUCCCUUGGCUUACGAGGGAAGGAAACGGUCGUGGCGAUUCGCCUUUCUGCCCGUUGGGCGCGUCUUUUUAGGCGGAUGACGUUGCGACACCGUAUCGGCGAGGAAUUCGGAGAGUCCGGCCUGUGAGGAGAGAGAGAAAGAGCUGUCAGGCGGCGCAUUUAUGGGGGGAGUUACCUUACUUCUCGGAUCUGUCCGUUGGCGGACAGUUGCCUAUAAAUAUGCCGUCGCGUCACCGCCGUUCCUCUCCCUUCCGCCUUCUCGCUCUCGUUCCUUUGCUGCCUUUGCUUUCUCGUCAUCUCACGCGCACACGCCCCCUCGACCCGUAGCGAACCCACCGCCCCGUUAGCCGAGAUGCCUGUAAGACUCGUCGCCGCCGAUGACUGGCGCCCGUCGUCGAUGACGGAGCGCCGGCUGUUGGAGCUCGAGAAGGAGGGACUGCUGCGCCGCCGCACCUCGCUGUCGUCGCCAGAGUGGAUCGCGCCGCCAGCGAGCCACAGGGCGCCUCAGCCCCCCGAGGGCUACGUGGUGUCGUUCGCCAAGUUUCACCGCCACGGUCUGGGCGCGCCUCCAAGCCGCUUCAUGCGGGCCCUCUGCUUCCAUUAUGGGGUGGAGCUGCAGCACUUUUCUCCGAACGCCAUCACCGUGGCGGCGGUCUUUGCCGCCGUGUGUGAGGGCUUCCUAGGGACUCUUUCAUUUUUAUUUGGUGAUAACCAGAAUAAGCAUCAAGGAAAGAAAGAGUUUCACAUCCCGCGGUAGAAUCGACAAUCUGAUCAAUGCGUGGUAACGGAAAAGGAACUUUCGGACAUGCUUUAUUCAAACUAGUAUAAUCGACACACAUCCUCAUUUUCCCAUUCUUUUUCUUAACUAAUACAGGGUUCGCUAACCAGUCAGGAUGAUGAACCUCCUUGAUGAAUCCGGCCGUCAAAAGCUUGUGGACUUCCUCGCCAAUGAUCUUGCGCUUUUCCUCGUCGAAUCGGCGCAACCGCUGCUUCACUGGCUUGGAACCGGCUCGAAUCUCCAAGGAGUGCUCGGCGACUUCCCUCGGUAUGCCCGGCAUAUCCGAGGGACUCCAUGCAAACAUAUCAGCAUUCGCACGGAGAAAGUCGACGAGCACGGCUUCCUAUUUGGGGUCGAGGUCGGUGUUGAUUGUCAGCACCUUGCCGUCGGAGUUGUUGGGGUCGAGCGGGAUCUUCUUAGUUCCUUCCGCCGCCUCGAAGCUGCCCGCAUGACGUUUAGGUUCUGGAGCCUCAGCGGCCAUGGCUUCGAGCUUCGCAACGAGCUCGGUGGAGCUCUCGACCGCCUCCCCGUACUCGACGCACUCGACGUCGCACUCGUACGCGUGCUCGAAGGAAGAACUAAUGGUGAUGACGCCUUUGGGACCAGGCAUCUUCAGCUUCAAGUAUGUGUAGUUGGGUAUAGCCAUGAACUUGGCGUAGCCCGGGCGUCCGAUGAUGGCGUGGUACGUGCCUCGGAACCCAACCACCUCAAAGGUGAGGGUCUCCUUCCUGAAGUUGGCCGUCGUGCCGAAGCAGACCGGUAGGUCGAUUCGACCUACUGGCAGUGCCUUUUUCCCUGGUACGACGCCAUGGAAGCCGCCGGCGCUUGGCUGGAGGCGUCCUCUAUCGAUGCCGAGGAGAUCGAGGGUCUCGAGGUAGAUGAUGUUGAGGCUGCUGCCGCCGUCCAUCAGCACUUUCGAGAGUCGGGUGUUGACGAUGAUGGGGUCGACGACGAGCGGGUAGACGCCUGGGGCGACCACCUUGUCGGGGUGAUCUUCUCGGUCGAAGGUGAUGGGAGUGCUUGACCAGCUAAGAUACUGGGGCACCACCAUCCUUGCUGCAAAGACUUCGCGAUGCUCCCUCUUGCGCUGCCUCGCGGUCAACUGAGUCGAAGGCCCGCCAUAGAUCAUGUAGCAGUCGUGGACGGCGGGGAAGCCGUCGUCAUCUUUGUUGUCCUCCUUGCCGCCAGCCUUCUCCUUCUUGGAGUCAUCACGUGCAUCUUUUUUGAGCCCCUGACCGUCGAAAUGCUUUCUCAGCAUGCGACAAUCCUUGAGUUUGUGGUUAGCGCCUCCCUUAUGGUAAGGGCACGGCUCCUCCAACAUCUUGUCGAAGAUGCCUCCCUCCGGAGGGCCUCGCGGCUUCUUUCGAUCCAUCGUGGCGACGAGGUCGUCACCCGAAUCUCCCUGGUGGAACUGCCGCACUUUCUGCUUCUUUUUAUUUUUCUUGAGGCCUCGACCGGAAGUCCCAUCUUCAUCGACGGGCUGCUUGCCUUUUCUUCCUUCUGAGCUGAAGAAGGCGCCGACUGCCUCCUCCCCUGCCGCGUAGUUAGCCACUACGUCCAUCAGCUCGUCGACGGUUUGAGGUCGAUUGCGGCCUAAUUCCCGCACCAAGUCUCGACUGGUGGUGCCCGAGACAAACGCCAAGAUGACGUCGUGGUCGGGGAUGUGUGGCAACUCAGUGCGCUGCUUCGAGAAGCGUCGAGCGUACUCCCGAAGAGUCUCUCCUGACUUCUGCUUGCAUUUGCUGAGGUCCCACGAGUUCCCUGGCCGUAUAUAGGUCCCCUUGAAAUUACCCUCGAAGACUCUGACCAGGUCAACCCAGUUAUGAAUCUGAUUGGCUGGGAGUUCCUCGAGCCAUCGACGGGCGGUGUCGGAGAGGAAAAGGGGUAGCUGUCUGAUGAUGGCUCGAUCAUCCCCCCGAGCGCCACCUAGCUGACAAGCCAGCCUGAAAUCGGCCAGCCAUAGUUCUGGCUUGGUUUCUCCAUUGUACUUCGCGAUGCUGGUUGGGGGUCGGAAUGGACUAGGCAGGGGCGUGCUGCGAAUCGCCCUGCUGAACACCCGCGGGCCUGGUGGCUCGGGGGCCACCCGGUCCUCAUCGCUGUCGUACCUCCCGCCGCGAUGCGCGCUAUAACCACGUUCUUCCGCGUCUCCGUGCCGGCGGCGUCUAUUUUCUUUAACGUCGUGUCGCGCGUCGUGUCGACGUUGGUUGUCAGCAGGGAGGAUGAGAGCGGUCUUUCUACCUCGAGGGGGAGGUUGUUGCUGGACAGACACCUCCUCUUCGAUUAGAGGCUGUUCGCCGCGCUUCUCUGUGGCAGCUCCUCGUCGUCGAGAUGCCGAACUUUCGGCUUGUUGAACUGCUGCCACCUGGAGCAGUGUCUGAACUUCAUCUCGAAUUCGUCGGGCCUGGGAAUUUGAUGGCUCUGGCAUGUUACGUAGCAGCAUCGUCGCUGCUACUACAUUCUGUCCUGCUCGAGGGAAACGGCCGACAGGUUGCUCCGCCUCUGUGUCACCGACGAUCUGUCGAUGUACCUCUCGAGCGCGUCUGCGGACACUUCCGCCCGGCGGGUAGGGCAGGUCUUGUUCGAGGAUUUGCUCGAGCAGGACGAGGCGCUCGCGAUCUUCGUCGAGCUUCAUCUUGAGCUCCCGCAGCUGCGCGAGCUGCGCAGUUCUAUCUUCCUGAGGAAGAGGGUCGAGCCGUCCGUCAUUCCCAGGCGUCCUGGGGUCUUCUUGCGUCGCGGGGGCUCGACCACCCGCAGCAGCAUCCCGUGUUUCGUCGGUGGUUUCCGCCGCCCCGUCGAGGUGAUAGCAUUCCCUCGUAGGGUCGUAGCUGUCUGUCUCGGAGUCGGAGUCUGGUUCGGCAGUGUGGGAACACUCACGUCCUUCCUCCGACCAUCGUUGCCCGAGGGAGGUGAUCGAGUAUCGCCCGGGGCCUAGACGGCGGAGGCCUCGUACUCGGGAAAGGUCCGGCAGUUCGGACGUCGGCCGCUGCUCUUCAGAGCUACGUGGGAUGACCAUUGGUCUUUCCACGUGCGUCUGAGCAUUUGGGCGUAUCGUCUUGGCGAGCGACGCCGCGGCGUUGUCCAACCCGAACGGCAGUGCCGCCCUUGGAGAGAACAACCCGUGUGGAAGUAGCUUAGCUGCGGUGGGGGAGGGCGCGCGAGACGCGUCUCCCCCUGUCGUCGCGUGGUGCUGAGUCGUUGUGCUUGUUGCUCGGUCACGCGGUGUCGCUGCCUUGUGGCCCACAUCCUGCCUUGCGCGAGUUGCUGGUCGCGCUGAAGCAGAGGGGCCGCGGUGGUUGAGCCCGCGCCUCUUCUUAGGCGGAGAGGCGUGGUGGUGAGGGCGUCUUGGGGCCUUCAACCGUGCUGGCAUAACGCGGACUUCUCCUGGUCCUUUGACUGAGAGCAAGAUCAUGUCGUAGCCGGAGCCCGUAGACAUGAACUCGAGACUCCCAAACCAAAUCACCGUGGAGCGCGGAAGCGGCGAGGCAGGAGUAGCCAUCCGGAAAGUGGUGGGAAAUCGGUGAAAAACACGCAGGACCCCUACCUGGCGCGCCAACUGUCGGUGUUUUUCCCCCGGGGGGUCACAGCAACGAGUAAAUUUGUAUGCGUGCUCCCCUUUCCGGAUGGUGAUGCAAGAAGACACAGAGAUUUAUCCUGGUUCGGGCAAGAGAAGGCCCUACGUCCAGCGGGGGGAGAGAGUUUGUAUUAUCUUGCACCUAAGUGCUUGUACAGGGGCGAAUACAAGCGUGGUGUGAAAUGUGUAGCUCUACUACGUGUGUGUGUUCUUGCGUUGUGAUCUCUCUCUUCUAUUCCUGAGUCCCUCCUUUUAUAGCUCCAAGGAGAGACACAGGGUACAUGCAUAGAUAUUAGAGUAGGGAUCGAUAGCCGCAUGGAGCGCUGACCUACUCGAGGCUUCCGUACGUCAUGGCCUCGAGCCGUCCCAUCUUGAUAGCUUGGUGAUGAUUACGCGUGCUCCUGCGUGCUGCCCUGCCAGCCGCCUUGUGCUGGUUCUGAGGUCGCAUGCUCGUAUGGUAUGGUGGCGGAUCCGGCGGAGCAGCUGUGGUGUUGUCAGUCGAUGUCCGACUUGUCCCUGGGAAGGGACCUCGUUCGGUCGAGGGUCGGGCGCCGCGUAAUAUGCUGAUAUCUGGAGCGCUGACCUUGGGUGUCUCGAGGAGGUCCCGAUUAGACGUUCCAUCCUUGUUUCCUGUGUCCUGACUCGCCCUGGGUCGUUCGGUGGGAAGGCUGCAAAAAGAACGAUGGGACAGAAGCUUGCUCCCUAUCACGCCUUCCGUGACCUGUGUGUUAGGUGGGGAAGCGUCAGGUGCAUUUAAUGCUUCGGCUCGCGUGCGCGCGUCGGGCGGCGGACAGUGUCCUCGCGCCCGACACCUCUCGGUUCGCUCGAGCCCGCUUCCGUCAUCGAUGGCAGCCGUCGCUCGAGUCCUGAACCGAUUCGCUCGAGACUAUUUCCGUCUUCGAGGCUGCGACCGUCGAUGGCGGCGCACACGUAAGAUCGGAGCGUCGAAUUAAGGGUCUCGACCUUCAUACGGGCAAUCUCAUAAUGCGUAUUGCUGAGGGUACCCCUUACCGAUACCCUCGACAGCAGGAUUCUCUCCUCUACUAAGUUCUUCUUGUCGCUCCCGCUGCAGCCUUCUUUUCUGUGUCCUUGUCAACCCUUCUAGACACCAUAGGGGAAGUUGUGUCUGCCUCAUCGAUUGGCAACGAUUUUCCCUUGAUUCCACCUGAUAAGUAUUUGCAUCCCUAUAGAAUAUGAACUCGUCGGGAACUCGUGCAUCCGCCAUCUCCUCAAGCUCCUCUUGGUUUCUUGGAAAAUAGCCAAUACGCUCACCAAGCCUAUCGUGCACACUAAGCCUGCCCCCAGUUGAUCAUGAACUAAUGUCCUUCCUCUAAUCGGCCCACCAAAACGCCGAUCAUUGUUUUGAUACUGCCGAUUUGGUCUAUCAUAACGAUUAUAGCCAUUGCACUCAGGACAGUCUCUAACAGUUGGCUGCUUGAUGUUUUGUUCCCAACAGUGGAUAAAGAACGGGCAAUUCCAAUGAUCUUUAUGCCGAUUCCACUCUUGUCGGCGUCGUUCUUCUUCCCUGCAACGAUCUUCCUGUUGGCGACAAUACCGAUCUUCACGCUGCUGCCAGGUUUCCCGAUGCCUCCUAUGAGUGAUUAUAAUGCCAGAUCAGGGAGGUUUUCCUGAGCUGGUUCCUUCCAGGAUCAAGCCCUUGCCUUUGGCGUCAUCGACAGUAAUCUGAUGCUGAGGAUCUAUCGAUGCACUUCUUUCAGCUGCUUCUAAUGUCAAGACUUUGGUCUUUCCCUUAGCAUCCAAUAUAUUUGUCGGGAAAGAAUGUUGGUCGAUCUUCAUCGGCUUUUGAGCUUUGGAGCUAUUGAACUUAAUUCUCCCAGACUCUAUAGCCGAUUGCAGCUGUUGCCUGAAUACUUUACACUCAUUUGUACUAUGAGAUGUUGCACAUGCCACUUGCAAUACUUGAUUUUUUUAACUCUUCUACCCAUGGAAUUACAUGGUUAGGUGAGAAUUUAAUUUGUCCUUCCUAAAGCAGAAAGUCAAAUAUCCUAUCAGCUUUGGUGAUAUCAAAUGCAAACUUUUCUCGCUCCUUAUGACCAAAAGGACAAGACAUCGGCUUCUUAUUUUUUACCCACUCUGCCAAGUCGAUGACUGGUUCUUCAUCAGAAUCUGAGCUUGUUGCCUCAUCGAGAAAUGACAUCUUUUUGUUCCAUGCUCUCUUAGGUUCAAAAGCUUUGAUGUCUUGAUCAGAGAUUCUUUGAACUAGAUGACUCAGACUUUCAAAUUCUUGAGAAGCAUACAUGUCUUUAAUGUGUGGCAACAAUCCUUGGAAAGCCAAAUCGGCUAGCUGCCGAUCAUCCAGGACCAGACUAUAGCAUUUGUUCUUAACAUCUUGCAAGCUUUGCACAAAACUUUCAACCGAUUCAUCAUUGUGCUGCCUUAGCCUGACUAAAUCGGUAAUCUUCUUCUCAUGUACUCCAGAAAAGAAGUAUUUAUGGAAUUGCUUCUCUAGAUCAACCCAAGUAGUCACUGAGUUUGAAGGUAAUGAAAUAAACCAAGUAAAGGCCGAUCCAGACAAAGAUGAUGCGAAUAAACAAACCCUUAACUCAUAUCUAUUAGCAGCUUCCCCACAAUGGAUGAUGAACCUGUAACAUGUUCUAUGGUUGACGUGUCAUCCUGUGCAGAAAACUUGGUGAAAUCCGGCACUUUGUACCGAUUUGGAAGUGGAAUUAAGUCAUAAGGAGGAGAAUACGGUGUCCGAUAAGAAUAAGUAUUGACUUUGGGUUUUAUCCCAAACUGAUCUCUCAUCACUUCAGCUAUCUUAUCGGCACAAUAGGCAUCGGCAUCCUGCCGAUGAGCGGGUUGUGGAUCUGGCAUCUGCUGAUAAGCUUCCACGUGUCUCUGCGGUGCACGAUCUCCAGGGAACAUGGGAUUAGCCACCGCCUGUUGACCACCAACUUGUUGAGCAAGAUUCAUCGGCUGAUUAAUCAAUCCUUGAUUCUGAAAACCAGGUUGCACUGGUCCCUGUUGAAAUCCCAUAGCCUGAUGAUUCUGCUGAGGCAUCUGUGGAAAGACAAACUGCCCUGUCCAUCCAUUGUUAACAUUCAUUAGCGUAGGUCCUGCCGAUGACUGGUAAUUGAGCAUCAUCAUUGAAUUGACAUACCCUGGCUGUGUCAUAAACCUUUGAUGUGUCGGCGUUGGAUCUGCCAGUGCGUUAGGCAUCUGGAAUGUCGGUAACUGAGAAUUUCCAGGGAAUGUCGGUAUCUGAGAAUUUCCAGGGAAUGUCGGCAUGUUAGAAUUCCCAGCAAAAGGUCUUGCAGUGGUAGUUGUAGAAUACUGGGGAUUCUGAGUCAUCGGCGAUACUGGGGGUGCCGAUGCCAUAGGAGCCUUGCCUGUCAUAUCAGCCACUUAAGACAUCCCAGAACUAUUUGCCAUAAAUUCUGGGGGCAUACCAUAUCCCCACCAAUUGGGAGGAACUUGAGAGCCUUUAAGCAUAGACCCUGACAUUGCCGAUGCUAAUAGAUCUGUAGCAAGUUGGGCUUGCCCCUCUGUUGUUGCUGGGUUAGUUCUCAUCGGUGUAGACUGCCCAUUAGUCAUCUCUAAUGUGCUUGGGGGAGAAGUAGCUUCCGUACCCGCAACGGCCGUAGUAGCCGAUGGAGCCGUAAUCGAUGAUGAUCCUGGCUGAUGAUGGGCUGGGCCCACAUAAGCUGGUGGUACUUGUCCUUCUUUGAAAGUUCUAGCCACAGCAUUGAAAACUAUAUUGGACAGCACACUAGAUUGAUUGAUUAGAGCACGAUUGAUAGCGUUGUCAACCAUCUCUUGCAAUUUACCAGGAUUGGCUUCUAAAGUGAUUUGCCGAGGCUUCGGCAAUGCUUCCUUCUAGAUUACUUCGCUGCUCCUGUUGAUACUGAAGGAUUUCAAAUAUAGCUGCUUGUAGUCCUCCAUAGCUUUUGCCAUAGCUUGCUUCUGUUCAUCUCUAAGAUUGGCUUCCGUCACGGGGAUAACGUUCUCCAAGUUAAAAUCAGUGUUCGACAUGUUGAUCUUGAUGAUGAAUCUGAAUCUGUCCCACUGGGUGUGCCAAAAGAUGUGUUGGUGCAAAAGUAGAUCUGCAAACACAAAGGGCUAAUACCCGAUUCAACGUUAAGACGUGCCAGCCAAUUUGACCUUACAAUCGACAAAGGUGAUAACUUGAAUACUUUUGUCCCGACAACAGCGAUGCGCCCGGAUGUUACAGCCAAGAGGUAUUCACGCGGAACUCGAGAACUCACCGAGAUUGACUCGAUGAAUCCUUAAGAACUCGUAAGUAAAAAGAAAAUAUGCAAGGUGACGAAGUCGUCGAAAAGUAGAUGCUGGAAUAGAUGUAAAAACUAGUGUUUGAUUUAUUGUGUAGAUCUAUUACAUCGCUACGGGGUCUACAUUUAUACCCUAUCCAAAAGAGUUACAAUCAGACACGACUAGGACUCAAAUUCCAAAUUGAACGGAAUUUGUAUGGAAAGCAAACUCUAAUAACUAUGGAAAACAUUAAUUUAUCCACCACAACCGAUCGGCACACCAUCACCAUCCGAUCAACAAUUCCUGCGCCUCCUUUUGUGUCCAUAGGCAAAUCACCUUUCGUAGCCAUCGACAACCAUCAGCAUCAGUCAUCGGCAUAAAUCCUUCACCACUCGUGGACUUGGCCACAUUUUGUUGUUUCAUCAUCGGUAUCAACGCUCAUCGGAAACUCUUCUGUCAACCAGUCACCACUUUACUUGCUUGCCGAUCUACGCCUCAUUAACUUCCAGAUACGCGUCCAAAGAUACGUGUCUAAAAACGGUGUCAACAAAAAGAGAGUAGAAAAUUUUGUUGCCGAUCAUUUAUCUAGAAUGCAAUAUGAGAAUCCACAGGAACUACCCAUUGAUGACUCACUCCGAGACGACAUGCUCUAUAGAAUCAAUAGAUCUGACCCCUGGUAUACAGAUAUUGUUAAUUUAAUGGUUACAGGUUAUGUACCACGAGGAGGCAACAAAAGGAAGCUAAUUCACGAGAGUCGUUCUCACAUAUGGGAUGCACCAUACCUCUUUCGAGUAUGCUCUGAUGGCUUACUCAGAAGGUGUGUGCUAGCUAAACAAGGAAUCAAAAUCAUUGAAAGAUGACAUUCAUCUCCAUAUGGAGGGCAUUAUGGGGUGUUCUGAACACAUGCAAAGAUAUGGCAAUGUGGAUUCUUCUGGCCAACAAUGUAUGGAGACACAAGAGAAUUUAUUCGGAGAUGUGGCCCAUGUCAAAGACAUGGUAAUAUCAAUUCAUGGGAUACCAUGCCACUCAUCAACAAUCUCCAGAUAGAGCUCUUUGAUGUCUCGGGGAUUGACUACAUGGGGCCAUUUCUGCCAUCAAAGAAGUAUGAGUAUAUCCUAGUGGCAGUAGAUUAUGUCUCCAAGUGUGUUGAAGCCAUGCCAUGCAGGAAUGCUGAUUGUAUGCAUUCAAAGAACAUGUUCGAAGAAACAAUAUUUCCAAGAUUCAGAUUCCAAGGAUAGUGAUAAGUGACGGAGGUUCUCACUUCAUCGACAAGCGCUUCGAGCAAUACUUGUCGAAGCAUGGGAUACGUCACAACGUUGCUACUCCUGACCAUCCUCAGACAAGUGGUAGGGUAGAGACAUCAAACAAGCAAAUUAAGAAUAUUUUAUAGAAGAUAGUAAAUGAGAUGGGGAUAGCUUGGAAGGACAAGCUUCAUGAUGCACUCUAGGCAUACCGCAUUGCAUAUAAGACACCCAUCGGGAUGUCACCCUAUCAGCUUGUCUAUGGAAAAACUUGUCACUUACCAGUGGAGCUAGAAUUCAAAGCUCACUGGGCUAUCAAAAGAUGGAACAUGGACAUGGAAACAGCUAGAGACAAGAGGAAGAUGCAACUCUCUGAGCUAGAAGAAUGGAGAGAAAAAGCAUAUCACAAUACCAAGGUUUAUAAAUAGAGAGUAAAAAGAUGGCAUGAUAAAAGGAUCAAGAAGAAGGAGUUCACCCCAGGCGAUAAGGUAUUACUUUUUAAUUCUAGGGUGAAGCUCUUUGGGCAUGGAAAACAUCGAAGCAAAUGGGAAGGACCAUUCGAGGUGGUGAGCUCAUCGUCCAAUGGAGCCGUCACGCUUCGCAACAACGAUGGUAUGUUAUUCAAGGUAAACGGUCAAUGCCUUAAAUUAUUUUAAGAGCUUAACAAUGAAUUAGAGGAAGUAGACGUAAUUACUUUCUUUCUCAAUUAAAAUAUUUAGGCCUGACCUUUUUAUUUUUGAAUUAUCAGAGAAAAUCAACUUUUCCGAUUAAGAAUAUAAUUAAUAAAGUGUACGAAAAAGUUGAGACAGAGGGGGCUCGAAGGUUGGGCAGCCGCCCAAAACCCUAGGGGCGCCCAGCCCUCCCCCAAGGCCUUUCACCGCCGCCUUUCUCCAUUUACAUCCUGAGACCUUCCUUAUUGAUAAAAAGUGAAUCUUUCGAUUUUCUUCCCAUCCUUUGCUAUUUCACCUUCCAAAAAUACUUUUCCAGACCCCUAUAUAAGCAACCCAUGCCUAUGGUCUCGUCUCAUCCCAUCAUAGCUUUUCUCUCCUCUUGCUUAGCAGCUAGCAACCCCCCUCUACUCAACAAUGUCUAAGAAAAAUUUAGAGAGGAGAAUGAUCCCCUUUGGGAUUGAUCUCAACACCAUCCCUAAAAAAUGGACUGAGAGCAAAGCUAUCAUUCCCAUAGAUGAGCCUGUCCCGCUAGCCAUCAUACCACCACAACCACGCUGCUAUGGGCAAUCUUAUUUUGCUGAGCCCAUUCACACCAAGCCUCUCCUCUUGUAAGGAGAUCCAUCAAAGGGCCCCAUCAUUGCUCUGUUGGCAAGGACUAAUAUCCUGCCACUGAAGUGCAACGAGAAGCUGUUAGGAGUGAAGACCAACAAGAAUGGGGAGGUCGUCUGCGCCGAAUACACCACCGGUGAUCAUACCUACUUGGAGGGGGGGGGUUCACGCUCAUCCAUCAAAGGUCAAAUUCAUCCCCCCCAAAGGAAGCUCCAAAAUCCGCCAUGGCCGCAGCCAAGACUCCACGGAAACGCCACAAGGCGAUGGUAGACUUAGAGAAGGAGCUAGCUGAGUAGCGCACAAUAAUAGCCUCUCUAGAAGCCUGUCAGCAUGGCCAAAGUAGAUGCAUCACUUACGGUGACACAAGAGUGUUAAAGCUAGAGUAUGAUUCCACUACUCUAAAGGAGAGGGUGAAAGACCUAGAGCACCCUAGGAAGUAGGGUCAUUUUAUCUUAGCAUCCGAUAGGGCGAGUGUUAGUUUUAUUUAAAGUGUGUUUUUAUAAGUUUGCUGCUGUAAUAAUAAGCCCUGCAUGAAGAUGAAUAAAUAAAUAUUAUUAUAUGCCUUGUCUCUCUAUUGCCUCUCUUUUGUCUCCACCAUUUUGUGAAUGAAGGAUAACAGGAAACCAGUGUGGGGGAGACAUCCGGCGAUCAAAACAAACGAAUUCUCACGAAACAAUAACAAAAUUGGAGAAGACAAGACACGAAGACCACACUCGACAAAGCUGACCCCGAAGGGCCACUGACCAGGGGUGACCGCCCCACUCAUCCUUGGGCACCUGCCCAAGGGGUGAAGCCCCCUGGUCUCCGCUUCAAACCACGGUCAGGUAUGAUUUCUCUGUGUUAUAAAUUGUUAUUAUUGCUGCUGUUUCGAUUCGAAGUAAAAUAUCUUUAGUUAAAUCAUCCUAUGCAUAAAUAUUUAAAAGAUGUUUUAUUCAUGAUCACAAGAUAGACUUACACCAUGAUAAUUCCUAGAAAUUCCUGCUGCUGUUGGGAACUUUAAUAUAGGAACCCCAUAUUACUUAAGUUGUUGUGGAAAGAGAGAUAGUAUGAAUAUGGGAACCUGAUUUUUGAUGCCUAGUCAUUUGGAGAACUUUACUUUUCAAAAAACUUAAAAUGAUUAGCUAUACUUCUCCUAUGUAGCAAGAAUUAAUGUCCUACUAGAGCCAUGCAUGAUAGAUAUAAACUAGCUCAUAAGCUACUUGCUUUGUAUUGAGUUUUGUCAAACCUUAUUGACCUAUGUCGAGAGGAUUAUCAUGCUCCUAAGAUCAAGAUCACGUACACCCACAUAUAUCUACCAUUCCUACAGUAGGAAUACGCACAAACAUGCCUUUUCAUCCACAAUGUUUUACUCCUACACCGGGAGGAAACACAAAAAGAGUCUUAGUAGGAAUAAUUGCUCUAAGUUCGUUAAAAAGUCUUUCUCAAUAUUUUUUGGUUACAGAAGGAGGUAUGAGGCUAUGCCAAAAAAGUAUUAAAAAAGAAAAAAAGAAAGAAGAGAAAAAAGGACAAGUGUCCUAGAAAGAAAGAAGAAUAAAAGAUAGCCCAUACCAUCGUGUACAAAGACCAUGAGUGCUUUAGAGAAAGAAAGACAUUUUUGAAAAGAGCAAUGUAGAAUUAGGAUUAGCCACUAUAUAUUCCACACCCAUGCACUUCUUGAUCUAAGAGUAUGCUAUUUCCCUCCAUAGAUCUGAGUUUUGACUUAGCAAAAUAUGCAAGGUAAGUAUGCUAUUUCCUUGAAUUACCUUUAACUCCAUAUAAGCCUAUAUAGAGUAGGAUAUAUAUAUAUGAUAUCACUACAAGAAAUACAUGGCUUUUUAACGUUUUUAGUAUGACAAUUGUAAGAAUGUUACUAUAUCAUCCAUUUUGUGACAUUAUAUUUUAGACAUAGUGGCUUAGUGACAAUUAAAAGUUGUAUGUCACAAUAAAUGUCAUUUAACAAGUCUGAUUUCAUCUAAUGACAAUAUUUUCUAUGUCACAAGGCCUCCUUGUGUGUCACAAAUUAUUUUAUUAUUUUUUAAAAAAAAACAUUCCAUGUUGACAAGGUCUUUUGCCACGUCAACAUAUGUUUUUCCCUUUUUUCUAUUUUUUAUUUUAUUAUAUCAGAUCAUAUUUUUUUAUAUAAAUAAUGAUAUGUCACAUGUUUGAUAAUUUUGGUCAUGUAUCAUAUAUAUGUAAAUUUUUUUGAUCAAGUGUAUGUCAUGAUUUGUUGCAGAUGAUAGAUCUUGGAUUAAGAAUAGGAUGUUCAACAGGGAACAUAUUGAGAGGGUUGAAGAAUUCAUGAUCUUUGUUUCCCAGAGAUUAAGUGAUAAUGACAAGGUUGGAUGCAAAGUUUAUUAUCUAAUGUAUAUAAAAAGUCAAAAUUAAAGAAAUAUAUAAAAAAGUCAAAAUUGGCCCACCUAUCAUAAAAAUGUCUUAAUGCUAGGCCUUGUUUAGUUCUAAAAUUUUUUAGAAAAUCGACACUGUAGCACUUUCGUUUGUGUUUAACAAAUAUUGUCUAAUUAUGGACUAACUAGGCUCAAAAAAUUCAUUUUGUUAAUUUCGACCAAACUGUGUAAUUAGUUUUUAUUUUUCAUCUAUAUUUAAUACUCCAUACAUGUGUCUAAAGCUUCGAUGUGACGAACGAAUCUAAAAAUUUUUCCAAAAUUUUUUGGAAAUGGGCUCUCACGGACCCGAAAUAUUUAUCCAUUGUAGUUAACUUGGGUCAACGCGGCGCAUGCCUCACAUCUCUCCUCUCUCUCUCAGAUAUUCCUCUGCUCACUCCGAUCUCUCCGCCUGACCUCCUCUCUAUCUCUCCGCUCCUCCCCAAAUACAUUCGGCACCCUCCACUUCGGCGCGGGCACGAGGUCGCCGUAGUCACUAGCGACUGACCUGGACGCCGGCACGGCGCGAGCAUGAGGCCGCCGAGGGCACCGACGACCGUCCGGGACCCCGGUGUGGCACAGGCAUGAGGUCACCGCGAGGACCGGCGACCGGUCCGGACUCCAGCGAGCAGUCAGGACACCAACGUGUGUUCGAGCGUGAGUUCCCUUAAGGUGAGUCACAACUCCUCAUUCUUUCUGCUCCGCCUGGAUCUGCAGUUGAAGGGGGUCGGCCUGGAUCUGCAGCGCCUCGGAUACUCGCUGGUGCAGGCACGAGGCCACCGCGGGCUUGGGAGAUCCACGACCCGAGGCUCACGGGGAAGCGCCACUGGCUAGGCACCGCCGCCGCCGCCGCCGUGGUUUGGGGAUGGAGGCAGCCCGCCGAAGCGAGGCACGAAGGUUGUUUCUUUCCUCUUUUUUCAUUCCUGUACUAGAUCUGCGGUUUAAUUUUUGGUAAAUACUUCAAUGUUUCUUUUUGGUAAAUACUUCAAUGCGGAUUUUUACCUCUAGGCUUUUAUUUUGGGGGAAUACCCUCUAUAGGUGCAUUAUGGACGACCCAAUGUGGAUUCUCACUGAACUCACUUAGAAAAUCCCUAGGAUGGGACUGCAAUCUCCUGCAUAUCGUGGACAUUCUUAAAUUGAGUUCCUAUUUUAUUUUAAUAUUUUCAACAUUGAGGAAUACAACUAGAUAACUCAGUAUCAGGUUGCACACCCAGUGUCUAUGUGGGACUGAUGAACUGACAAUUGUGAUCACACAGUACAAGAAAUGCCAAACCAUUCGUCUACCAAUUUAAAGGAUGUAGUUACAGCAAACUAACUGAUGAAAGUCUAUGCCCAUAGUUUUUCUCGACCAGAUUUCUAUCAACCAGCAACCUCUGGUGUAUACCUUUCUUUGGCACUAAUCUCAAGAGCUGUUAAAUAUGUGGACCAUGAGCUGCGUGUGCUUUUCCUUUAUGUUACCCUAGUACUGCAGCCAUCAAUUUUACAUAGAUGAAAUUUGAAAGUUCAUGUUUAUUGGUCACUUCGUGUUAGUGUUACUCAUCCAGCUGCUUUGCUAUGUAGUUCAGUACCCAAAUUUUUAUGCCCUGUACUAGAGAUCACAACUUUUCAUCUUCUGUUAGUCGUUUAGUCCAUUUAGUGUUAGUCAGGCAGCUGCUUAGCUACUAUCAAGGACAAAACUGUCCUCUCUGAAUAGUGAAUACAUUGUGUUCAUAACCUGACCAUGCUGAUCUCAUUCUCAUAUAUUAACAUUAUUUGGAUCCAUGGUUGUUGACCUGUGGUGCUAGGCUCAAAUUACUGAACUUUAGCUUUUAUUGUUUCUCUGCUCUUGACUUAUUUGGAUGAAGUCAUUUCUCUUGAGUACUAUCAUCUUGAGGGGCUAACUGGAAUGGUAUUCCUUCCACAGUAUGUGAUGGUUGUUCUUAAAGGUUCAGUCCCUAUGGCAUUUGGAGGUACCCAGGAGCCUCCAAAUCUUUGAUAUUGUCCUUAUGCGAGAAAUCUAAAUACUUUGGUAUAUGGUGGAAAUUCUGAAACUUUACUGCUCACAUUCUAGUUCCAGUAUUUAUGUUUGAUUGAUGUAUAUGUGCUUGUUAAUAAUUGUUCUCUAUUAUUUUCCCCACAGUGAGCAUACCAAAUGUGCUCUCAUGUCAUCAGCAUAUGUACAUUUACACUGCGAGAACUACUUCAAGUGAUUGAUGGAUUAUUGGAAUUUCAUUUGGAAGAGAUGACAAGGUUGUUGAUAAUUCACACCUAGAUAACUUAUUUUGGAUGAUGUUCAGUUCUGUUUGCUGAUGUUAGGAAACCAAUUUUGUUGCUUAAAGUUUGCAUGAAAGAAAAAAAAAGCAGAAGUUAUAUAUGCCUUGUUAUACCAAGUCGUGGUUGAGAAUCUGCUUCUAAGUUUUCAAGGUUUUUUUACCUCUAGCACCUUUCCAUAUAACUUUGUUUAGACUGCAUUAGUGAUAAAUGGAACCUUUGGUUUUUCAUGUCAGAAUGAGCUUAGAUGUACACUGGUGCAGCAAGAGGAUCAAAGUGCACAUGGUGGCUAUUUUUGAAAGAUUUUGUUAUGCAAGCAAAUCAUAUGAGUUGUAUUGUGCAAGCUACCCUCUUAGUUUUGUAGCUACUUGCGUAUAGCUUGCUUAUUGCCUUUGUAUUUUCUAUGAAAAAUUGUACAAGUACAAAUGUUGAUGGUUUCAAUGAAAAGAUGACCAAUAUUUUGUCAAUUGUGAGCUUUCUUCCAAUUUAUGUGUAUUUCAUGAGCGUGCCACAAACACAUGGGCAUGAAUAAUGGGCCAUAAACAGCCUACUACGUGUACCAGAAUUAUGAUGGUUGUGACAUUUUUUGUAGUGUUUGUGACAUUUUUUCUUCCUGCCAUGUCAGCUGCCACGUGGCAAGAUCUACGAUUUUGUGACAAUAAACCAAUGUCAUAUGCUUGUGACAUGAACCAAACAAAUGUCACAUAAUCAUUUUAUGACGCGGGCUUUUCCACGUUUUGAUUUUUGUCAACUUGAUGUCACAAAUCUUAAUUUGUAACAUAAAUUCCAUAUAUUGUGACAUAACUAAACGUUAAAAAGCCAUGUGUUUCUUGUAGUGUAUAUAGUUUGGUGAGUUCCACAAAUACCACCUAUAAUGAGUGAUUCGAGUGUGCUACAUGAUGGUGAAGGGUAAGCUAAGUUUCUCUUUGCAAAAAUAUUAUAAAACUCCACGUGACAAGGUUGAAGGAAAAGAGAACUCUAUUUUGUACUAUUCCAUCUUCAACUUCUCAAAGUUUUAUGGUAGACACUUUGAAUCCUGCAGUAUAGGUAUGACUUGGAAUAAAUCUGGUGAUGUCUUGGUUUGAGAUUAUGAUUAAAAUAGUCUAUCUAUCCUUUUUCCUUGAGGAUGAGUAAAAGAUAAGUGUGGGGGAGUUUGUUGAUGGUAGAUAACUCCUAAUUUUAACCGUCAACUUAGCAUGAAAAAGGACCUAUUUGCAACCACUCAGUAGAUAUAGGAUUACCACUAACAAAAUUCCAUGAGUUUUGGUGAUUGUCUAUUUCUACACGGGGGUACUGGAAUAAUAACAAAAGAAGGUCCACAUGUCAGAUUUACAUAGAGAGAAGGCUAGAAUGUCAACUCACGAACAAUCUAGAAGACUCCAAGAGCCACCACAUGAAACCUAGGCCCACAUGGAAGCGACCCAGGGACGGGUGCCCCUACUAGGUGGGGUGGCUGCUCGGGGCUCUCCACCAAGCGAACUAAACCUCACGGAUCCUGCCUCCACCGACUUUGAGGAUUAAUCUUAAGCACACAUUUAAGUCGGUUUGAUCCAAGGGCUAUGGUGAUUCCUUAGGGGCUAUAAAUAAAGACCCUGACCACCCUUUGAUCUAACUCUAAAACCCUAAUUCAUAUUUUCUAGAGAGAGUUAGACAGACAAGGGUCCCUUUAAUGGAUCUGUCUCUAUAGGGUGAUAGCAACAAGAGAGAUUGAGAGAGUAUAGGGUGAGGAUAGGAGUUGAGGAAGCCUAGCCUGUUAGUGCCUUCUUCUUUGGUUCUUUAGGAUUAAGUCUCCUAACCCAAGGCUUGGUUCUAGAAUCAUUCGACAAUUCAACUUUUGAUACUAGUAAGUUAUUGUUCUUAUUGUUCUUUGGUUUACGAGUUUACUUUAUUCGCUUCACAUAGGGAAUAGAGUAAUUACUCGUAGCAUAAGCAUGGUGCUUGAGCUAGGAAUACUCGUAGAUACUCCCUGUUUGGCUGGAUUUGUGGUAGCUUUGGGGGAAAGUGACAAUCCUCUCAAGUCUCUAUAAUCCACGUCCCAUCAGGAGGUAAGGUAGGGUAUAUGGUACUACGGUUAAGCACUCUCUGAGGUGUCUCUUUUCUCUAGUUACUCCCCUUAGAACAAUAUCUACACACUUACCAUAGGUUAGAAGAAGACUGAUGAAAGAGUUCUCUUUGUAUCGCUUAUAUCUCACUAUCUUGUCUUGCAACCCAUGGGUAGUAGGUAAGAUAAAAUGUUAGUCUUUUGCACGCUUUCUCCUAGUGGUAAAAAAUAAAUACGAUACUCCGAUAUCUAUGCGCUUGCGGAUUAUUUCUCUUUGAGUCUUUCAUGUGUGUAAGUAAUAUCAACAUCUAGCACCCUACAAAAGAUCCUAGAUAAGCUAAUAAGGUGUCGAUCUUAGCUAGUUCUCACAUAACCAAUUCUAGCUUGCAAGGUCACACAAACCUAUGCAACUAGUACUUUAAGCAAACCGGAGCACCUACACAAACAGGUGAAACAAAGCACUCAAAGCCUAAGCUCACUAGCAAUGCUCAAUAACAAGGCAACCAAUACCAAAUUUGAGAGCAUAAAAUACUUAGCUAUACAAACUAAGCAAAGUGGCUAACAAGUUUACACAAACUAAAUUAGUCACGCAACGGGAGCUACAUCUAGCUACACAUGCAUGAAGGUAACUAACAAGCUACACAAGCUAAACUAUUUACAAGAGAAACUACACAAGCACUAUAUAUAGAAUGUAAAAACAAGCUUGUGUAUGGCGAAUGCAAACCACCUUAAAGAGUAGACAAAGUUGACAUGGUGAUUUUUUACUGAGGUUCACUUGGUUGCCACCAAGCUAAGUCCUCGAUCAUUAAGACAAGCUUCAAGGUUGUCGUCGGUCCUCUUGCUAGUGGUGACCCAUAAGUCAUACUCUCCAACAUGAAGUGCGAUCUAGCACUUGACUCGGUCAGACCAAUUGUCGCCCUUCGCAUCUCGCUUUACUAUAGUUUCUCUUUGUGAUCACCAUAGCGUGAGCACCGUACUCCUCACAAAUCUUGUCCUAUGCUUCAAUGGAGUCACAAGCCCCCAAGCCAUCUAGGUGGUGGCAACCUCCAAGAGUAACAAGCACCACUAGCUUGCAACAUGAACACCUAGUGCCACUCAAUGUAAUCUCUCAAUGCAAUUGCACUAGAAUCACUCACUCACUAUUGAUUCACAUUCUAGCUACACAAUUGAGUUAGAGGGCUCCAAAGCACUCUCAAUCAAGGACACAAAGUCCCCCAAGGUGCUCAACAUCAGCCAUGGCUGAGAUAACCUAUUUAUAGCGCCAAGGGCUAAGUUAGCUAUGGCUCCUUCAAUGGGCAAAACGAGUGUUCAUCGGACUUGCAGGUGCAAUGCACCUGACGCUCCAGCCAGUGACUGACACUCAUGUAACUGCCAUGUGUCACCAAUGGCCAACUCUCAUGCGUGCCUGACAUGGUCACACUGGACGCUCUAAUGAAAACCACCGGACGCCAAUGCCUCAACUCAAAUGCAACUCAAAGAGGUACCAAAAAUGGUUUCUUGACAACGAACGUGUUUGACAUGCUGCCAUCGAACGUAGCAAGCUGUCAACGGUCCUUAAAUACCAAAUUUAACUAUCAAAUAAACAAGGAAAAGGAUCUAAAUGCAACCAACACCUAGACCUAGGGUUUUAUCUGACAGAAUUCCACGAGUUUUGGUGUUUGUCUAUUUCUGCAGGGGGUAUCCGGAAAUAUGGAGGAAAGGCC